UUUUUUUUUGUAUAUGUACACAUAAGAGAAGGUUGUCGCUCGCUGAAGCGCCUAGUACUUGCGUGAGAAGAUGGGCCGGCCCAAUGCACGGGUGGCAACUGCCUCGUUGUUUUCUUCUGUUUUUCACGUUUUUAUUUCGUUUUUACAUUUUUUUACACUUUCAAAUAUUAUAAAAAUAUAUAUAUUGAAAUAAAUAUUUUAAGUAUUUUUUGGAAAAUGUUAACCAUGUAUUUGGAAAAUAUUAAAUGUGUAUAGAAAAUUAUUGACCAUGUAUACAAAAAAUAUACAAUCUGUGUGAAAAAUUUGAUCACGUAUUGAAAACAAUGUUAAUCAAGCUUUUGAAAAAAAUGUUAAACUUGUAUUUGAAAAAUGAUAAAUUUAUAUAGAAAAAAUGUUGACCAUGUAUUAAAAAAUGUUGAACUUGUAUUAAAAAAUGUGUAUAGAAAAAGUGUUGAACUUGUAUUUAAAAAUAUUAAAUGUGCAUAUAAAAAUGUUGAACUUGUAUUUGAAAACUCUUAAAUGUGUAUAGUAAAAAUGUUGAGCAUGUAUUAAAAAUGUUAAAAUUGUAUUUGAAAAUUGCUAAAUAUGUAUAAAAAUGUUGAAAGUGUAUUUAAAAAUGUUGAACUUGUAGUUGAAUUUUUUUAAUGUGUGUAGAAAAAAUGCUCAUCAUGUACUAAAAAAUGUUAAACUUGUACUUGAAAAAUGUUAAAAUGUGAAUAUAAAAAAUGUUGGCAAUGUAUUAAUAAAAUGUAAAACUUGUAUUUGAAAUAUGUUAAUCAAGCAUUUGAAAAAAAAUGUUAAAUAUGUCUCGAAAAAGUGUUGACCAUGCAUUAAAAAAAUGCUAUUGUGGUAUUUGAAAAAGGUUAAUCAAGAAUUUAUAAAACAAUAAACAUGUAUUAGAAAAUUUUAUUAGUUAUAUACCAAAAAUAUGUAUAGGAAAAAGGGAAACCCAAGAGAAAACAAAGAAAACCGAUGAUAAACAAUAAAAUAACAAACAAACCUAAAGAAACAAGGAAAAAUCCAAUGAAAACCAACAAAGAAAUAAAGAUAACAGAUGAAAAAGGAAAGAAAAUAAAAAUUCUGUGAAAACUGAGAAAAGAAAUGAAGAAAAACUGGCGAAAAAAUAAAACAAAAAAAGCAUGGAAAAGCCAAUGGAAUGCCGCCUUGUUUCUUGUCAAGUAGGUCGGACCCUCCAAUUUAUCACCAACUGCAUGCCAACUGAGAGUAAUGUAGGGACUAAAAGGAAUUUCAGCACUAAAUUUUUAGCUAACUUCAUCUGGAUUCGGCUUCUUUAAGAGUGUAUCAUAAUAUAUCGAACAGUGGAACCAUGCAUGUUAUUUAUAACAUGCGUUGUAGAAAAUGUUUCGCAUCGUCUAUGCUAAUAUGAAAAAGAGCAAAAUACACUGGUCCUAAAUCUUUCGAUAUGACUAUCUGGGUCCUAAAAGAAAGCAAUGUGUCUCAUCGUUGGUCCUAAACUUGCUUGCGCCGCUCUAACCAACGUGGCACGAUCGAGCAAAUGUACUUUUGUGAAAAAGACCCAACCGUUGUGAUCAUUUCCAUUCCCGCUCCUUUCCUUUCCUUUCCUUUCUUCUGUGUUGUGGCCGCUAGGCGACGGCAGUGAUAGUUUCUAUGCGGCGUCUGGAUGAUGGCAGAAAUGGCAAACGAUGUGAUUGGAAUCGAGCAUGUCCGCCCGAUUAAGCAGGAACAAGGUAAGCCCCCGACCAUCUCCAACACUUGUGGAAAAGAUGGUGAUUCAAUCAUGCAAACGUCAUCUAGGUCUAGAUCACCACGAAGUUCAGAAUGGUUCACAUACAGUUUUUAACAUCGGGCACCACUAAAGCCAUAGUUAAUGUGUCAGCUUCUUUGUCGAUAAUGCGCAACCCAGUAUCUGGACUCUUGUCAUAAAGCAUCCAAUAAGCUUGAGCAGCAACAUUAUGACCAAGUGAAAGUGCAACUAUCCCUAGGUGGUUUUGGUAAUUCAUAACAACAUAUAGCUCAUUGAGCUAAUGCUAUUCCAAGAUGACUAUUUCAGGAAAGCCCAAUGAUUGGCAUGGCAUGGAUGUGAAAGUGGAACCCUCAAAAUGCUAAGGACAAAGGAUUGGCUCAAGCUCAAAAGCUCAAGACUCUUCAUUUUAUAUUUUAGUGAUCCAAGAUCACAUUGAGUCUUUAGGAAAAGUCAAUACUAUCAAGGAGGGAUGAGGUGUUGCUUAAUGAGCCUCUUGCUUCAUGUGCUUAGUGAUAUGCUCCAAAACCCUCAACUACUUUCCCAUAUCCACAUAUGACCUAAACCCUAAGCCAAACUCGGUCCUACCGAUUCUUUCUAUCCCGCGCCACCAGUUUCACUUGUCAUAAGCCACUGCCAAACCCUAGCAAUUCGGUUCUACCGAUAGGGAUCUCGGUCUCACCGAGAUGGGAUUGCAAACUCUCUGUUUCCCUUUCGUAACUUUUCGGUCUCACCGAAAGAGCGGAUCGGUCCCACCGAGAUUGCAAUGUAAAUUCAGUGUUUCCUUUUUGUAACUUUUCAGUCUCACCGAAAGAGCAAAUCGGUCCCACCGAGUUUGCCUGACCAACUCUCUGGUUAGCUAAUUACCAAAAUCGGUCUCACCGAGUUUGUGUAAUCGGUCUCACCGAGAUUACGUUAUGCCCAAACCCUAACCAUAUCGGUCCUACCAAGUUGCAUGUCAGUCCCACCGAAACUCUCUAACGGUCACUAGGUUUACCUUUUCGGUCCGACCGAGUUUGUUGAUUCGGUCCCACCGAGAUUGGAAAACUAUGUGUAACGGUUGGAUUUGUUGUGGAGGCUAUAUAUACCCCUCCACCUCCUCUUCAUUCGUGGAGAGAGCCAUCAGAACACAUACACAAUUCCAACUCAUAUGUUCUGAGAGAGAACCACCUACUCAUGUGUUGAGACCAAGAUAUUCCAUUCCUACCAUAUGAAUCUUGAUCUCUAGCCUUCCCCAAGUUGCUUUCCACUCAAAUAUUCUUUCCACAAAAUCCAAAUCCUAUGAGAGAGAGAGUUGAGUGUUGGGGAGACUAUCAUUUGAAGCACAAGAGCAAGGAGUUCAUUACCUACACACCAUUUGUUACUUCUUGGAGAGUGGUGUCUCCUAGAUUGGCUAGGUGUUACUUGGGAGCCUCCGACAAGAUUGUGGAGUUGAACCAAGGAGUUUGUAAGGGCAAGGAGAUCGCCUACUUCAUGAAGAUCUACCGCUAGUGAGGCAAGUCCUUCGUGGGCGAUGGCCAUGGUGGGAUAGAAAAGGUUGCUACUUCGUGGACCCUUUGUGGGUGGUUGCUUCUUCGUGGACCCUUCGUGGGUGGAGCCCUCUGUGGACUCGCGCAACCCUUACCCUUUGUGGGUUGAAGUCUCCAUCAACGUGGAUGUAGGAUAGCACCACCUAUCCGAACCACGGGAAAAACAUCCGUAUCUCCAAUUGCGUUUGAAUUCUCCAAACCCUUCCCUUUACAUUCUUGCAAGUUGCAUGCUUUACUUUCCGCUGCCAAUAUACUCUUUGCAUGCUUGCUUGAAUUGUGUGAUGAUUACUUGACUUGUCCUACAAUAGCUAAAAUCUGCCAAGAACUAAAAUUGGGAAAAGGUUAAGUUUUUAUUUGGUCAAGUAGUCUAAUCACCCCCCCCCUCUAGACAUACUUUCGAUCCUACAAGUGGUAUCAGAGCUUUGGUCUCCAUUUGCUUUGAUCUCCAUAGCUUUUGAUGGUCAUAGCCUUGGUUUCACAACCUAGGAGAGUAUGGCGUCUAGCGAGGGAAAUUAUCACCGUAGAGGUCCUUACUUUGAUGGUACUAAUUUUGCUAGUUGGAAGCAUAAAAUGAAAAUGCAUAUUCUUGGACAUAACCCCGCCGUUUGGGCUAUUGUGUGUGUUGGUUUGCAAGGUGACUUCUUUGAUGGGAAAGAACCAAACCGUGAAGCUACCGCGGAUGAGUUGAAGAUGUUGCAAUACAAUGCUCAAGCUUGUGAUAUUCUCUUCAACGGAUUGUGCCCCGAAGAAUUCAACAAAAUCAGCCGUCUUGAGAAUGCAAAGGAAAUUUGGGACACUUUGAUUGAUAUGCAUGAAGGUACCGACUCCGUCAAGGAAUCCAAGUUGGAUGUGCUUCAAAGUCAACUUGACAAGUUCAAAAUGAAGGAUGGUGAAGGUGUCGCUGAAAUGUACUCUAGGCUUGCUCUCAUCACAAAUGAGAUUGCCGGCUUAGGAAGUGAAGAGAUGACCGAUAGAUUCAUCAUCAAGAAGAUUCUAAGAGCCUUGGAUGGAAAAUAUGAUACCGUGUGCACAUUGAUCCAAAUGAUGCCCAAUUACAAAGAUCUCAAGCCAACGGAGGUGAUUGGAAGAAUUGUUGCUCAUGAGAUGUCACUUAAGGAUAAAGAGGAACUUCACAACAAAUCAAGUGGUGCCUACAAAGCCUCAUGUGAAGCUCCUACAUCAUCAAGUGAGAAACAAAACUUCAAUGAAGAAUUGAGCUUAAUGGUGAAGAACUUCAACAAGUUCUACAAGAGUAGAAGUAAAGAUAGAAGCUUCAAGUUAAGGUCCUACAAUGACAAAAGAUCUUCUAGUCGAGAGCGAAACUGCUACAGCUGUGGAAGACCCGGACACUAUUCCAAUGAGUGUACGGCUCCCUACAAGAGAAGAGAAGAUUCUCCAAAAAGAAGAAGCAAAGAAUCACCACCAAGAGAGAGAAGGAGUAGAGAUGAUCGUUAUGAAUGAAGAUACUCACGGAGAAGCAAGGAUUCGGAAAGGAAGGAAAAAUCAUCAAGGAGCUACACAAAACGAAGACAUCAAGCUCAUGUUGGUGAAUGGGUAUCCGGCUCCGACUCCGACAGCCACUCUGAGAGAAGUUAUCACUCCGACUCCGAAGAUACUCAAGAUGAAGGUGUUGCCGGUCUAGCACUUGUGUCAACCAACUCCUACGACAUAUUUGACUCACCAAAUGAAGGAAUUGGAAGAUGCUUCAUGGCCAAAGGUCCUAAGGUAACACACCCCGAGUAUGUUGAUUUCAAUAGUGAUGAAGAUGACUUGUUAGGUGAUGAUUUGCUUGUUGACAACUCUAGUGAUGAAUACUAUGAUGAAACGUCAAUUAAUCAUGCUAAUCAAGAUAAAACGAAUGACAAUGAUAAGGAGAAGAUUGAGGCUCUAACUAAAGAACUAAACACUCUUAAGUUAGCUCAUGAAACUAUCUUCGAAGAUCAUCGAGAACUUUUAAGAGCUCAUGAGAAAUUACGCUUUGAAAAGCUCAAUCUUGAGCAAGAGCAUGAGUUCUUAAAAGCAAUCAAUGAUGAUCUCCGCAAGAAAAGUUCUUCUUACAUUGCCAAGCAUUUACUCUUAUCCAUUCACAUGCCUCAAGUCAAGUCUAGUAACAAGAACAAGAAAGAUUCUUCCUCUAGCAGUAACAAUGAUCAUGCUAAAUCCAAAAUUGUUGCUUCUAGUAGUUCUCUUGAUUCCACUAAUGAUUCUCUUAGCCAAUUUACACUUGAGCAAGAAAAUAGCUUAUUGAAGGGAAUUAUAGAGAAAGGAGUGUACAAAAGCCUUGCCGGGAGUAAGCAAUUCGAGGAAAUUGUGCGCAAGCAAGGAAUGCACCGGAAGAAUCAAGGUGUUGGUUUUGAACGAAAGUUCAAUGCCAAUGGAGUUGAGUCGGAAGAAGAUCAAUACCCCAAGACAAAGUUUGUUCCUCAACAAGAGAAGUAUGAUACUUCUUUCAAGGGGACACAAGCUCAAGAUGAUCUUCCACCACAAGACUACAAGCAAAAAGGCAAGGACAAGCUUCAAGAGGAAAUUGAUGCAUUUGAAGAAGCUCCUAAGACCUUAGUCAAGUGGAUUCCCAAGACUACUUCAAGUUCCACUUCAUCAAGUACGACUACAACUCCAAGGAUUCCCAUCAAGAUGGUGUGGAUCCAAAAGAAGAAGAACUAGAGAGUUCUUGAGGGUGACUCCGCCAACAUACUUCACUCUUAUCAUUUUGGCAAGAACAAGUGCAAUCAACUUCCACAUCUUGCACUAGUUCAAGGAGUCACAAACCCUCUUGUUGGUAAGACAAGGGACAAGGUAACCUAAAAGUUUUCAUGGACAUCAUCUUGUGUGUGCAUCACUCUAUGUCUAUGGAUAUCCUUGUUUGUUCCUUGUGGGACUAACCCAUGUAGGUAUUGAAAGUGCAAUUCACUCAAAUGGAUAGCUCCAAGUGAUCUACAUCAACAUUGAGCAUCCACAUCUUCAACAUCUACAUGAAGUCAUCAUCGACAAAACCCGAGGUUAGUUCAUCCCUCUAAGGGGGGAUAUCACAUCUAGGGGGAGCCUUACUCUAAGACUUGAGCUAAAGCAACUCUAAAGAUGUGAACACAACAAUGCUUUAUGUAAAAGUGGUAACCCCACUUGAGCUUAAACGAUGAGUAUGACCUAUGAUCAAGUGUUCUCACUUGACUCCUAAGUCAAUAUACUCAUAUAUAGAUGACCUUGUCAUCGCAAAUUGCUUGAUAGAUGCUAGAAUUGGUUGUGCAUGCCUUGUCACAUAUUUCAUUUGCCAUCUUAUUGUGUGAGCAUGCUGGUUGCAUAUUUUACUCAUUCGAGGACAUCCACUUGUUGUUUUGAUUGUUUGGUUUUAUUUCCUUGUGCCAAGUGGAUGGACAAGAAUGCCUAAGAACCUCCUCUAGCUAUCUAUGCUUUUCUCGUCUCAAACUCUAUUCAUGCUACAUCACAAAAUUUGAUCAAGUCAGAUUCGAACCACUCUGUGUGAGGAGCGCUCGGAGUCCCCGAUUCGUCAUAGACUUAAACUUCCAAAACCUCUUUAUGAUUCUCGGUCUGACCGAUACCCUACUUACGGUCCUACCGAGAUCAUUAAGUUGAUCUAGGUUUUCGAUCUCGGUGCAACCGAUUUGAACUUUCGGUCACACCGAGUUUCAGUAACUGCUUGCAGUUAUGAAUCUCGGUGCCACCGAGUUGUUCCACUCGGUCACACCGACAGGGUCGGGCUAUAUAUAGUCACGGGCAAAAAUUUGGAAAUUUCUCCGAACCCCUUCGCCCGCGCAAUAGCCUGCUCUGCCAACUUGGUCUCUGGAUCGUCUCCUCGCCGCCAGCCGCCUCCAGUCGCUGGUCUCCAUCGCCAUCAACGGAAUUCAACCCUGCCAUUGCCGCCGUAGCGAGUCUCCGCCGAACUAGGGUAUGGACUCGAUCACAGUGCUAUUCCCCGUCCGAUUCCUAGCACAUUGUGUUCUUAAUGAUUCUUGCCAUGAUUGAAACACUCCUAUCCAGUCAAUGCGUUCAUAGAUUAGUUUUGAUUCGAAAUUUUUAGGGUUAGGUUUCCGCCGAAACCAUCUUGGACCCACCAAGUUGAAAAACUCGGUCCCACCGAUUUGGCUUAUGCCAUUGCACAAGUGAGACUCGGUCUGACCGAGAAUUACUAAUCGGUGUGACCGAUUUUGGAACUUUGUGAAACCCUAGCAGUCUCGGUGCCAUCGAACUGUGACUCGGUCCAACCGAGUUUACUAGUUUAGGUUCCAAAAACUGCUUCGGUAUCACCGAGUUUAAAAAUCGGUAGAUCCGAGAUGAUUUCAGUGGGAAACUAAAACUAAGAUUUUGAGUCAUUCUUUUGCAAAAAUCUCUGCAUUUUGUGAUGCUCAUCCACUCUACCUCAUCUAUAAACUGUUCACAGGGUCAGCAGUCAGCUUGUUCAUCAUGUCAGACCAGAGUGACAACCAGAAUGUGUCAGAACAGCAAGUGCACAUGAGUGAGGGCACUAGUCCCUCAAGUUCUUCAGAUGAUGGCAGCAGAAGUACUCCUAGCAAUUUGCCAAAAGCUUCCACCAGACAAAGGAAGAAGAGAACUUCAGACUCUAAGGAUGAGGACUAUGUGGCAGAAGAGGAAGCAACUUCCAAGAGAGUUGAGCCAGCACAGGGCACAAAGCCAGGGUUAAAGAUCAAAAGGCCAGCAGGCAGGCAUCCUAUGACAAAGGCCAGAGCUUCAACCAAGAUUUCUGAGAAGCCCACUCCCAUAGAGCCAGUUGCUGCUGAAGGCAAGAAAAGAAAGGAAAGGGUGAAGAAAACCGUAGCCAGAGUGCUUGGCAAGGCUUCCAUUUGUUGGGGAACGUAGUAAUUUCAAAAUUUUCCUACGCACACGCAAGAUCAUGGUGAUGCACAGCAACGAGAGGGGAGAGUGUUGUCUACGUACCCAUGCAGACCGACUGCGGAAGCGAUCACACAACGUAGAGGAAGUAGUCGUACGUCUUCCCGAUCCGACCGAUCCAAGCACCGUUACUCCGGCACCUCCGAGUUCUUAGCACACGUACAACUCGAUGACGAUCCCCGGGCUCCGAUCUAGCAAAGCAUCGGGGAAGAGUUCCGUCAGCACGACGGCGUGAUGACGAUCUUGAUGUUCUACCGACGCAGGGCUUCGCCUAAGCACUACAACGAUAUGAUCGAGGUGGAAUAUGGUGGCAGGGGGCACCGCACACGGCUAAGGAACGAUCUCAAGGAUCAACUUGUGUGUCUAGAGGUGCCCCCUGCCUCCAUAUAUAAAGGAGCCAAGGGGGGGCGGCCAGGAGGAGGGCGCAGGAGGAGUCCUACUCCUCCCGGGAGUAGGACUCCCCCCUCCAAUCCUAGUUGGACUAGGAUUCCCCGAGGGGGAAAGAGAGAGAGGGGGGCCGGCCACCUCUCCUAGUCCUAAUAGGACUAGGGGAGGGGGGAGGCACGCGGCCACCUUGGGCUGCCCCUUUCUCCUUUCCACUAAGGCCCAUGAAGGCCCAUAUGGCUCCCGGGGGGUUCCGGUAACCUCCCGGUACUCCGGUAAAAUCCCGAUUUCACCCGGAACACUUCCGAUAUCCAAAUAUAGGCUUCCAAUAUAUCAAUCUUUAUGUCUCGACCAUUUCGAGACUCCUCGUCAUGUCCGUGAUCACAUCCGGGACUCCGAACAACCUUCGGUACAUCAAAAUGCAUAAACUCAUAAUAACUGUCAUCGUAACGUUAAGCGUGCGGACCCUACGGUUCGAGAACAAUGUAGACAUGACCGAGACACGUCUCCGGUCAAUAACCAAUAGCGGGACCUGGAUGCCCAUAUUGGCUCCUACAUAUUCUACGAAGAUCUUUAUUGGUCAGACCGCAUAACAACAUACGUUGUUCCCUUUGUCAUCGUAUGUUACUUGCCCGAGAUUCGAUCGUCGAUAUCCAAUACCUAGUUCAAUCUCAUUACCAGCAAGUCUCUUUACUCGUUCUGUAAUACAUCAUCCCGCAACUAACUCAUUAGUUGCAAUGCUUGCAAGGCUUAUGUGAUGUGCAUUACCGAGAGGGCCCAGAGAUACCUCUCCGACAAUCGGAGUGACAAAUCCUAAUCUCGAAAUACGCCAACCCAACAAGUACCUUUGGAGACACUUGUAAUGCUCCUUUAUAAUCACCCAAUUACGUUGUGACGUUUGGUAGCACCCAAAGUGUUCCUCCGGCAAACGGGAGUUGCAUAAUCUCAUAGUCAUAGGAACAUGUAUAAGUCAUGAAGAAAAGCAAUAGCAACAUACUAAACGAUCGGGUGCUAAGCUAAUGGAAUGGGUCAUGUCAAUCAGAUCAUUCAACUAAUGAUGUGACCUCGUUAAUCAAAUAACAACUCUUUGUUCAUGGUUAGGAAACAUAACCAUCUUUGAUUAACGAGCUAGUCAAGUAGAGGCAUACUAGUGACACUCUGUUUGUCUAUGUAUUCACACAUGUAUUAUGUUUCCGGUUAAUACAAUUCUAGCAUGAAUAAUAAACAUUUAUCAUGAUAUAAGGAAAUAAAUAAUAACUUUAUUAUUGCCUCUAGGGCAUAUUUCCUUCAGUCUCCCACUUGCACUAGAGUCAAUAAUCUAGAUUACACUGUAAUGAUUCUAACACCCAUGGAGUCUUGGUGCUGAUCAUGUUUUCCUCGUGGAAGAGGCUUAGUCAACGAGUCUGCAACAUUCAGAUCCGUAUGUAUCUUGCAAAUCUCUAUGUCUCCCACCUGGACUAGAUCCCGGAUGGAAUUGAAGCGUCUCUUGAUGUGCUUGGUCCUUUUGUGAAAUCUGGAUUCCUUUGCUAAGGCAAUUGCACCAGUAUUGUCACAAAAGAUUUUCAUUGGGCCCGAUGCACUAGGUAUGACACCUAGAUCGGAUAUGAACUCCUUCAUCCAGACUCCCUCGUUCGCUGCUUCCGAAGCAGCUAUGUACUCCACUUCACAUGUAGAUCCCGCUACGACGCUUUGUUUAGAACUGCACCAACUGACAGCUCCACCGUUUAAUGUAAACACGUAUCCGGUUUGCGAUUUAGAAUCGUCCGGAUCAGUGUCAAAGCUUACAUCAACGUAACCUUUUACGGUGAGCUCUUUGUCACCUCCAUAUACGAGAAACAUAUCCUUAGUCCUUUUUAGGUAUUUCAGGAUGUUCUUGACCGCUGUCCAGUGAUCCACUCCUGGAUUACUUUGGUACCUCCCUGCUAAACUUAUAGCAAGGCAUACAUCAGGUCUGGUACACAGCAUUGCAUACAUGAUAGAGCCUAUGGCUGAAGCAUAGGGAACAUCUUUCAUUUUCUCUCUAUCUUUUGCAGUGGUUGGGCAUUGAGUCUGACUCAACUUCACACCUUGUAACACAGGCAAGAACCCUUUCUUUGCUUGAUCCAUUUUGAAUUUCUUCAAAAUCUUGUCAAGGUAUGUGCUUUGUGAAAGUCCAAUUAAGCGUUUUGAUCUAUCUCUAUAGAUCUUUAUGCCUAAUAUGUAAGCAGCUUCACCGAGGUCUUUCAUUGAAAAACUCUUAUUCAAGUAUCCCUUUAUGCUAUCCAGAAAUUCUAUAUCAUUUCCAAUCAGCAAUAUGUCAUCCACAUAUAAUAUCAGAAAUGCUACAGAGCUCCCACUCACUUUCUUGUAAAUACAGGCUUCUCCGAAAGUCUGUAUAAAACCAAAUGCUUUGAUCACACUAUCAAAAUGUUUAUUCCAACUCCGAGAGGCUUGCACCAGUCCAUAAAUGGAUCGCUGGAGCUUGCACACUUUGUUAGCUCCCUUUGGAUCGACAAAGCCUUCCGGUUGCAUCAUAUACAACUCUUCUUCCAGAAAUCCAUUCAGGAAUGCAGUUUUGACAUCCAUCUGCCAAAUUUCAUAAUCAUAAAAUGUGGCAAUUGCUAACAUGAUUCGGACAGACUUAAGCAUCGCUACGGGUGAGAAGGUCUCAUCGUAGUCAACCCCUUGAACUUGUCGAAAACCUUUUGCGACAAGUCGAGCUUUGUAGAUAGUAACAUUACCAUCAGCGUCAGUCUUCUUCUUAAAAAUCCAUUUAUUCUCAAUUGCUUGCCGAUCAUCGGGCAAGUCAACCAAAGUCCAUACUUUGUUCUCAUACAUGGAUCCCAUCUCAGAUUUCAUGGCUUCAAGCCACUUUGCGGAAUCUGGGCUCACCAUCGCUUCUUCAUAGUUUGUAGGUUCAUCAUGAUCUAGUAGCAUGACUUCCAGAACAGGAUUAUCGUACCACUCUGGUGCGGAUCUCGCUUUGGUUGAUCUACGAGGUUCGGUAGUAUCUUGACCUGAAGUUUCAUGAUCAACAUCAUUAGCUUCCUCACUAAUUGGUAUAGAUGUCGCAGAAACAGUUUUCUGUGAUGUACUAUUUUCCAAUAAGGGAGCAGGUACAGUUACCUCAUCAAGUUCUACUUUCCUCCCACUCACUUCUUUCGAGAGAAACUCCUUCUCUAGAAAGGAUCCAUUCUUAGCAAUGAAUGUCUUGCCUUCGGAUCUGUGAUAGAAGGUGUACCCAACAGUCUCCUUUGGGUAUCCUAUGAAGACACAUUUCUCCGAUUUGGGUUCGAGCUUAUCAGGUUGAAGCUUUUUCACAUAAGCAUCGCAGCCCCAAACUUUAAGAAACGACAACUUUGGUUUCUUGCCAAACCAUAGUUCAUAAGGCGUCGUCUCAACGGAUUUUGAUGGUGCCCUAUUUAACGUGAAUGCGGCCGUCUCUAAAGCAUAACCCCAAAACGAUAGCGGUAAAUCAGUAAGAGACAUCAUAGAUUGCACCAUAUCUAGUAAAGUACGAUUACGACGUUCGGACACACCAUUACGCUGUGGUGUUCCGGGUGGCGUGUGUUGCGAAACUAUUCCACAAUUUUUCAAAUGUACACCAAACUCGUAACUCAAAUAUUCUCCUCCACGAUCAGAUCGUAGAAACUUUAUUUUCUUGUUACGAUGAUUUUCAACUUCACUCUGAAAUUCUUUGAACUUUUCAAAUGUUUCAGACUUAUGUUUCAUUAAGUAGAUAUAUCCAUAUCUGCUUAAGUCAUCUGUGAAGGUGAGAAAAUAACGAUAUCCGCCUCGAGCCUCAAUAUUCAUCGGACCACAUACAUCGGUAUGUAUGAUUUCCAAUAAAUCUGUUGCUCUCUCCAUAGUACCGGAGAACGGUGUUUUAGUCAUCUUGCCCAUGAGGCACGGUUCGCAAGUACCAAGUGAUUCAUAAUCAAGUGGUUCCAAAAGUCCAUCAGUAUGGAGUUUCUUCAUGCGCUUUACACCGAUAUGACCUAAACGACAGUGCCACAAUUAAGUUGCACUUUCAUUAUCAACUCUGCAUCUUUUGGCUUCAACAUUAUGAAUAUGUGUAUCACUACUAUCGAGAUUCAUAAAAAAUAGAUCACUUUUCAAAGGUGCAUGACUAUAAAAGAUAUUACUCAUAUAAAUAGAACAACCAUUAUUCUCUGAUUUAAAUGAAUAACCAUCUCGCAUCAAACAAGAUCCAGAUAUAAUGUUCAUGCUCAACGCUGGCACCAAAUAACAAUUAUUUAGGUCUAAUAUUAAUCCCGAAGGUAGAUGUAGAGGUAGCGUGCCGACCGCGAUCACAUCGACUUUGGAACCGUUUCCUACGCGCAUCGUCACCUCGUCCUUUGCCAGUGCUCGCUUAUUCCGUAGUCCCUGUUUCGAGUUGCAAAUAUUAGCAACAGAACCAGUAUCAAAUACUCAGGUGCUACUGCGAGCUCUAGUAAGGUACACAUCAAUAACAUGUAUAUCACAUAUACCUUUGUUCACCUUGCCAUCCUUCUUAUCCGCCAAAUACUUGGGGCAGUUCCGCUUCCAGUGACCAGUCUGCUUGCAGUAGAAGCACUCAGUUUCAGGCUUAGGUCCAGACUUGGGUUUCUUCUCCUGAGCAGCAACUUGCUUGCUGUUCUUCUUGAAGUUCCCCUUCUUCUUCCCUUUGCCCUUUUUCUUGAAACUAGUGGUCUUGUUAACCAUCAACACUUGAUGCUUCUUCUUGAUUUCUACCUCCGCAGCUUUCAGCAUUGCGAAGAGCUCGGGAAUAGUCUUGUUCAUCCCUUGCAUAUUAUAGUUCAUCACGAAGCUCUUGUAGCUUGGUGGCAGUGAUUGGAGAAUUCUGUCAAUGACGCAAUCAUCUGGAAGAUUAACUCCCAUCUGAAUCAAGUGAUUAUUAUACCCAGACAUUUUGAGUAUAUGCUCACUGACAGAACUGUUCUCCUCCAUCUUGCAGCUAUAGAACUUAUUGGAGACUUCAUAUCUCUCAAUCCGGGCAUUUGCUUGAAAUAUUAACUUCAACUCCUGGAACAUCUCAUAUGCUCCAUGACGUUCAAAACGUCGUUGAAGUCCCGAUUCUAAGCCGUAAAGCAUGGCACACUGAACUAUCGAGUAGUCAUCAGCUUUGCUCUGCCAGACGUUCACAACAUCUGGUGUUGCUCCAGCAGCAGGCCUGGCACCCAGCGGUGCUUCCAGGACGUAAUUCUUCUGAGCAGCAAUGAGGAUAAUCCUCAAGUUACGGACCCAGUGCGUGUAAUUGCUACCAUCAUCUUUCAACUUUGCUUUCUCAGGGGACACAUUAAAAUUUAACGGAACAACAGCACGAGCCAUCUAUCUACAAUCAACAUAAACAAGCAAGAUACUAUCAGGUACUAAGUUCAUGAUAAGUUUAAGUUCAAUUAAUCAAAUUACUUAACAACUCCCACUUAGAUAGACAUCCCUCAAAUCCUCUAAGUGAUCACGUGAUCCAAAUCAACUAAACCAUAACCGAUCAUCACGUGAGAUGGAGUAGUUUUCAAUGGUGAACAUCGUUAUGUUGAUCAUAUCUACUAUAUGAUUCACACUCGACCUUUCGGUCUCCGUGUUCCGAGGCCAUAUCUGCAUAUGCUAGGCUCGUCAAGUUUAACCUGAGUAUUCUGCAUGUGCAAAACUGGUUUGCACCCGUUGUAGAUGGACGUAGAGCUUAUCACACCCGAUCAUCACGUGGUGUCUGGGCACGACGAACUUUGGCAACGGUGCAUACUCAGGGAGAACACUUCUUGAUAAUUUAGUGAGAGAUCAUCUUAUAAUGCUACCGUCAAUCAAAGCAAGAUAAGAUGCAUAAAAGGAUAAACAUCACAUGCAAUCAAUAUAAGUGAUAUGAUAUGGCCAUCAUUAUCUUGUGCUUGUGAUCUCCAUCUCCGAAGCACCGUCAUGAUCACCAUCGUCACCGGCGCGACACCUUGAUCUCCAUCGUAGCAUCGUUGUCGUCUCGCCAAUCUUAUGCUUCCACGACUAUCACUACCGUUUAGUAAUAAAGUAAAGCAUUACAUCGCGAUUGCAUUGCAUACAAUAAAGCGACAACCAUAUGGCUCCUGCCAGUUGCCGAUAACUCGGUUACAAAACAUGAUCAUCUCAUACAAUAAAAUUCAGCAUCAUGCCUUGACCAUAUCACAUCACAACAUGCCCUGCAAAAACAAGUUAGACGUCCUCUACUUUGUUGUUGCAAGUUUUACGUGGCUGCUACGGGCUUAAGCAAGAACCAAUCUCACCUACGCAUCAAAACCACAACGAUAGUUUGUCAAAUAGACUCCGUUUUAACCUUCUCAAGGACCGGGCGUAGCCACACUCGGUUCAACUAAAGUUGGAGAGACAGUCGCCCGCAAGCCAUCUAUGUGCAAAGCACGUCGAGGGAACCGGUCUCGCGUAAGCGUACGCGUAAUGUUGGUCCGGGUCGUCUCGUCCAACAAUACCGCCGAACCAAAGUAUGACAUGCUGGUAGGCAGUAUGACUUAUAUCGCCCACAACUCACUUGUGUUCUACUCGUGCAUAUAACAUCAAACCAUAAAACCUAGGCUCGGAUGCCAUUGUUGGGUAACGCAGUAAUUUCAAAAUUUUCCUACGCACACGCAAGAUCAUGGUAAUGCACAACAACGAGAGGGGAGAGUGUUGUCUACGUACCCACGCAGACCGACUGCGGAAGCGAUCACACAACGUAGAGGAAGUAGUCGUAUGUCUUCCCGAUCCGACCGAUCCAAGCACCGUUACUCCGGCACCUCCGAGUUCUUAGCACACGUAUAGCUCGAUGAUGAUCCCCGGGCUCCGAUCCAGCAAAGCGUCGGGGAAGAGUUCCGUCAGCACGACGGCGUGAUGACGAUCUUGAUGUUCUACCGAUGCAGGGCUUCGCCUAAGCACUACAACGAUAUGAUCGAGGUGGAAUAUGGUGGCAGGGGGCACCGCACACGGCUAAGGAACGAUCUCAAGGAUCAACUUGUGUGUCUAGAGGUGCCCCCUGCCUCCGUAUAUAAAGGAGCCAGGGGGGCGCCGGCUGGGAGGAGGGCGCAGGAGGAGUCCUACUCUUCCCGGGAGUAGGACUCCCCCCUCCAAUCCUAGUUGGACUAGGAUUCCCCGAGGGGGAAAGAGAGAGAGGGGGGCCGGCCACCUCUCCUAGUCCUAAUAGGACUAGGGGAGGGGAGAGGCGCGCGGACACCUUGGGCUGCCCCUUUCUCCUUUCCACUAAGGCCCAUGAAGGCCCAUAUGGCUCCCGGGGGUUCCGGUAACCUCCCGGUACUCCGGUAAAAUCCCGAUUUCACCCGGAACACUUCCGAUAUCCAAAUAUAGGCUUCCAAUAUAUCAAUCUUUAUGUCUCGACCAUUUCGAGACUCCUCGUCAUGUCCGUGAUCACAUCCGGGACUCCGAACAACCUUCGGUACAUCAAAAUGCAUAAACUCAUAAUAACUGUCAUCGUAACGUUAAGCGUGCGGACCCUACGGUUCGAGAACAAUGUAGACAUGACCGAGACACGUCUCCGGUCAAUAACCAAUAACAGGACCUGGAUGCCCAUAUUGGCUCCUACAUAUUCUACGAAGAUCUUUAUCGGUCAGACCGCAUAACAACAUACGUUGUUCCCUUUGUCAUCGGUAUGUUACUUGCCCGAGAUUCGAUCGUCGGUAUCCAAUACCUAGUUCAAUCUCAUUACCGGCAAGUCUCUUUACUCGUUCUGUAAUACAUCAUCCCGCAACUAACUCGUAGUUGCAAUGCUUGCAAGGCUUAUGUGAUGUGCAUUACCGAGAGGGCCCAGAGAUACUCUCCGACAAUCGGAGUGACAAAUCCUAAUCUCGAAAUACGCCAACCCAACAUGUACCUUUGGAGACACCUGUAAUGCUCCUUUAUAAUCACCCAGUUACGUUGUGACGUUUGGUAGCACCCAAAGUGUUCCUCCGGAAAACGGGAGUUGCAUAAUCUCAUAGUCAUAGGAACAUGUAUAAGUCAUGAAGAAAAGCAAUAGCAACAUACUAAACGAUCGGGUGCUAAGCUAAUGGAAUGGGUCAUGUCAAUCAGAUCAUUCAACUAAUGAUAGUGACCUCGUUAAUCAAAUAACAACUCUUUGUUCAUGGUUAGGAAACAUAACCAUCUUUGAUUAACGAGCUAGUCAAGUAGAGGCAUACUAGUGACACUCUGUUUGUCUAUGUAUUCACACAUGUAUUAUGUUUCCGGUUAAUACAAUUCUAGCAUGAAUAAUAAACAUUUAUCAUGAUAUAAGGAAAUAAAUAAUAACUUUAUUAUUGCCUCUAGGGCAUAUUUCCUUCACCAUCAUGGAAGAUGAGGAGGAAGAAGAAGAGGUUGCUGCACCAGCACCUAAGGCACCUAAAAUUAUGGGUGAUGCUAUAAGAUCAGGGGCUGCCACAUCUAAGCCCAAAGAAGCACCCAAAGCUGCCUCCAAGCCCAAGUCUGCACCAAAGAGAAAUACAAGGAGCAUACCUGCAACUGAGAAGAACAAGGCCCCAGUGCCUGAGACUGUUGUUGAAGAAGAUGAUGAAGAACAAGUUCUCAGAAAACUCAAGCCCAAGAUCCCAUACCACAAUGAUGCUCAUCCUGUGGCUGAGGAUAUGAAGCUCAGGAGAGACUUGGGGCUGAGGAAGUGGAGAGAAGCAGAUCCGUAUGCUUCAAGAAGGAGGACUGUUGUUGACUACAGGUUCCACACUAAGGAAUAGCAGGACUUCUAUGAGACAGCCUUAUUGGAUAAGAAGCCCAUUGUUUGUGACAUGAGAUGGGUCGACUGGACCUACAUGAAGGAAAAUGAGGAACACUAUCCUGGUGUGAUUGACAGCUUUAGUGCUUGUGGAGUAUUAGACUUUGUUGGGCAGAAGCUCACAAAGUGGAAUGAGGAGCUUAUUAUGCAAUUCUAGUCCACAGCACAUUUCUACCCAGAUGAAAAGAUCACAUGGAUGUCUGAAGGUACGAGGUACCAAUCUACUGUUGCUGAGUGGGCACAGCUCAUCAAUGCCCCAGAGGAGCAUGAGGAUGACUUGGAUAUCUAUGCCAAGAAGAAGAUGGACCACAACUCUAUGUCCAAUAUGUACAAGGAAAUUCCAAAUGAAGCUCUUGAAACUUUCAAAUUUGGCUCGGUGCAUUAUCUUCUGUCGGGGCUGCCAACUAUUAAUUGGAUUUUGAGGCACACUCUCUUGCCCAAGUCAGGUGAUCACAAGAUGAUCAGAGGCCAUGCAAUCAAUUUGCUUCAUGUAUUUGAUGUACCUCAGAAAUUCAAGGUCAUGAGCCUCAUAGUAGAGACUAUCAAGAGGACUAUAGCAGAUCAGAAGAGGAGCUGUGGUUAUGCCCCUCAGAUUCAGGAGCUCAUUAACUCCAAGAUGGGCACGAGCAUAUACUUGUUGGACAAGGAACACUUGCCCAUCCGUCCAGAUUUUGAAGAUAAUCAAGUUGUUAUGACUGAGAAUGAACCAUCGUCUGCACAAGCACAAGCCAAGAAGGAGAAGGCAAGGAAGGAGAAAGCUGCCAAGAUGCCAACUCAAGAGGAGGCAUCUGAGUAUUUCUUGAAAACCAAACAAGAGCAGCUUGGUUACUUGAUUGCAUCCAGCCUGCGGAUUGAGCAAGGACUAGCCACCCUAACUCAGAACCAGGCAAGCUUAGAGAGGAUCAUGGAACAAAAGUUCUAUGACUUGGAUGUCAAAGUGACAGAGACUCAGACUGCAGUGGAGCAGCUCCAGGAUGACAUGCAGGAGAGGAGAGGCAAGACUACAACUGAUGCCUUUGUCAGAGUGCCACGAGGUCCGAGGUCGUCUGCAGUGCCAGUUGCUGACCCCAGAGCCACCACGUCUGCACCAGCUACAGCCUCAGUUCCACCAGCUCCAGCAUCUACUUCAGCCUCGACCCCGACCACGUCUACAGAAGGCUUCGUCCUUGGAGUGCUCUGGACUCCACCACCACCUGAAGAUCAAGCCUGAGUGUCGACUUAGCACUAUGCAUUUUCUAGAAACUUUUUGGUAACUUGUUGCCAAAGGGGGAGAAAAUGUAUAGAUCAUAGGCUUCGAGAGAGAGAGUGUUGCUUUUUUCUCUCUUGCUUUAUUUGGUGGUUUUUCGAACUUUGUUUGCUUUUGAGUGCUUGAGAUACUAUGUCAUUGCUCGUGAGACAUUGAUGAUCAUGUGUUUGAUCAUAAGCUACACUUAAUGUUUGCUUAAUAUUAUCAUCUUAUCUAUCUUAUGUGAUCAUUCACUAUUCUUGGUGAUGAGUGCAUGUAUUUCAUUCUUAUCAUUUUAAGCGCUCCACCAAGAUGUAUGUGACAUGGAAGAGUAACCCAUGACUCUAACUCUUUGUGCAUUUGCAGUCCAAAGCAAAUUUUAAAUAUGCACAAAUUUAGGGGGAGCUCUUACUUAUCACAUACUUCUCAAAGCGACGAUAUAUUUCAUGCUUAUUAUCAUUUGUCGAAGCUUUGAUCUAUAUGUUGUCAUCAAUUACCAAAAAGGGGGAGAUUGAAAGUGCAACUAUCCCUAGGUGAUUUUGGUAAUUCAUAACAACAUAUAGCUCAUUGAGCUAAUGCUAUUCCAAGAUGACUAUUUCAGGAAAGCUCAAUGAUUGGCAUGGCAUGGAUGUGAAAGUGGAACCCUCAAAAUGCUAAGGACAAAGGAUUGGCUCAAGCUCAAAAGCUCAAGACUCUUCAUUUUAUAUUUUAGUGAUCCAAGAUCACAUUGAGUCUUUAGGAAAAGCCAAUACUAUCAAGGAGGGAUGAGGUGUUGCUUAAUGAGCCUCUUGCUUCAUGUGCUUAGUGAUAUGCUCCAAAACCCUCAACUACUUUCCCAUAUCCACAUAUGACCUAAACCCUAAGCCAAACUUGGUCCUACCGAUUCUUUCUAUCCGGCGCCACCGAGUUUCACUUGUCAUAAGCCACUGCCAAACCCUAGCAAUUCGGUUCUACCGAUAGGGAUCUCGGUCUCACCGAGAUGGGAUUGCAAACUCUUUGUUUCCCUUUCAUAACUUUUCGGUCUCACCGAAAGAGCGGAUCGGUCCCACCGAGAUUGCAAUGUAAAUUCAGUGUUUCCUUUUUGUAACUUUUCGGUCUCACCGAAAGAGCAAAUCGGUCCCACCGAGUUUGCCUGACCAACUCUCUGGUUAGCUAAUUACCAAAAUCGGUCUCACCGAGUUUGUGUAAUCGGUCUCACCGAGAUUACGUUAUGCCCAAACCCUAACCAUAUCGGUCCUACCGAGUUGCAUGUCAGUCCCACCGAAACUCUCUAACGGUCACUAGGUUUACCUUUUCGGUCCGACCGAGUUUGUUGAUUCGGUCCCACCGAGAUUGGAAAACUGUGUGUAACGGUUGGAUUUUGUGUGGAGGCUAUAUAUACCCCUCCACCUCCUCUUCAUUCGUGGAGAGAGUCAUCAGAACACAUACACAAUUCCAACUCAUAUGUUCUGAGAGAGAACCACCUACUCAUGUGUUGAGACCAAGAUAUUCCAUUCCUACCAUAUGAAUCUUGAUCUCUAGCCUUCCCCAAGUUGCUUUCCACUCAAAUCUUCUUUCCACAAAAUCCAAAUCCUAUGAGAGAGAGUUGAGUGUUGGGGAGACUAUCAUUUGAAGCACAAGAGCAAGGAGUUCAUUACCUACACACCAUUUGUUACUUCUUGGAGAGUGGUGUCUCCUAGAUUGGCUAGGUGUUACUUGGGAGCCUCCGACAAGAUUGUGGAGUUGAACCAAGGAGUUUGUAAGGGCAAGGAGAUCGCCUACUUCGUGAAGAUCUACCGCUAGUGAGGCAAGUCCUUCGUGGGCGAUGGCCAUGGUGGGAUAGACAAGGUUGCUACUUCAUGGACCCUUUGUGGGUGGUUGCUUCUUCGUGGACCCUUCGUGGGUGGAGCCCUCCGUGGACUCGCGCAACCGUUACCCUUCGUGGGUGGAGCCCUCCGUGGACUCGCGCAACCGUUACCCUUCGUGGGUUGAAGUCUCCAUCAACGUGGAUGUAGGAUAGCACCACCUAUCCGAACCACGGGAAAAACAUCCGUGUCUCCAAUUGCGUUUGAAUUCUCCAAACCCUUCCCUUUACAUUCUUGCAAGUUGCAUGCUUUACUUUCCGCUGCCAAUAUACUCUUUGCAUGCUUGGUUGAAUUGUGUGAUGAUUACUUGACUUGUCCUACAAUAGCUAAAAUCUGCCAAGAACUAAAAUUGGGAAAAGGUUAAGUUUUUAUUUGGUCAAGUAGUCUAAUCACCCCCCUCUAGACAUACUUUCGAUCCUACACCAAGUUCUUUAAUAAAGUCCUUAAUCUAGAGGAGUGACCAAGUAUCUACUUCAUAGUAAUCGAAAUUGUUAAUUAAGCCAUCCACUUAUGUCUUGUAUGAGCCAUGCUCGCAAACAGAACCACGAUGAUGAAUUUCUACUGCGAAACCAUCCUCAGGUGGUCCUGGUGAGAGAAAAAAGGGAAAUUUCCUAGAAACUAUAAAUCAAUUGAAAUCCUAGUUCCUAGAUCGGACAUAAGUGGUACAUAAAUGUGGUUAAUGUCAAUGCUUCAUGUAAUCUAUGUCCUAAGAGACUCGAAUAUACACAUAAUUGUCCCAAUGAACUCAAAAUAAUGGCCAAAUCGCUGGGAAGAAAAGCUAGGGUUCGUACCGUACCGUGGAGGGGGGGGGGGAUCAGGGGCUUGUCGUUUCCUGUCUUAAUCGGAUCCACGGGCUCGCUUCCAGCCACGGUAGUGACAUCGCUUGCCAUUCCCACCACCAUUUAGAUGGCCCCAAGAAACUGCCGCCGACCACCGCCCAGAAGCAUUUGAGAGGGGAAAGGAAAGAAAGGUGCGGGAACGAAAAUGAUCACAACGGUUGCGUCUUUUUCACAAAAAGUCAAGUGAUUUGCUCGACAUGGAGGUGCUCAACAUGCCACAGGUGCAGGGACGCGGGCAAUUUUAGGAUGAACGAUGACACAACUUGCUUUCUUUUAGUACCCAAAAAAGUCGUUUGAAAGAUUUAGGACUAACUUGACACAAAUAAAAAAGAUUAGGACAUCCCGUGUAUUUUACCUUUUUUUAUAUUGGCAUAAAGGAUGCGAACCGUUUUCUAUCAUGCAUAUUAUAAAUAACGUUCAUGGAUCCACUAUUCGACGUGUUGGAGAUUCGUGCACGCGUUGCUCGCUGCGGGACAAUGAAAUGUUACGAUACACUCUUUAAGAAGCAGAAUCUAGGUGAAGCUAGAUGAAUGUUUAGCGAUGCAUUCUCCUUUUACUCCAUACAAAACCUGUCAAAAAGUUAUGUACUACUCAGAAACAAGGCAAAACUUCGAUAAAACCGAAAACAUGUGCAACGAAUCUCCAGGUGACCAUAGACAACGGAUCCAUGCAUGUUGGCAUGGUAAAAGGAUAAUCUCCAUAGAUUAUGAGCUCUCACAGGAGAUCUUUAGAAGUGAGGAGAUUCCUCCUGACUUCUUUUUGGCUUGUUUCUUUACUCCCCUCAUAGUGGAUGCCUGCUUCUCUUACCUAGUUGCUCAUGACUGAAACAACAACUUGUUUACGGCCCGUCAUCGAGCCACAUCUCAUAUCGGAUCAAGAGCAUGCUAAAGUUUUGAACCGAGGAAGGAGCAUGGAAGUGGGGUGAGGCAGGUGAGGGACUAGCGGAGAAAGGUGGGCCCCAUGGUCGAUGUAGUGCGAUUAGGGGCAUUGCAAUUUUUUUCACUUACCGACGGGGAUGUUAGGGAUUCAUGGGAUCACAUGAUGCGUAGGGGGUAGCGGCGGUGCUGUAGGGUGGGGCGGCGGCGUCCACGUCGUGCAUGCCGGCGGCUCCACGCAAUGAACGCAGGCGGUGCCAGAGGGAAUAGUCGACCAGCGCUAUCUAGGUCAAAACGUCUGCGCGAGGGGUGGCGGGCCGUGGAGCGGCGCCGGAGCAAGGCGAUCCCACUGGGAGGGAAGAGGCGCUGGUUGCACCAUCACGACGACCGCAGACAAUCGCUUAAUAGUGAGGAUAACCUGCUUACAUCACCUUGUUGUACUUACCCUUGCUCUUCAUGGACGAUGGGCUCUCACCGGAGAUCUCUAGAAGUAGGAGAAUCCUUCCGAAAUCUGUUCGGCUUGUUAGGACUAUACUAUAAAUGACCCCAACCACCAGGCCAGAUGGCUAUUUGAUCUCACAACUAUCAAAAUUUGCCUAAAGUAAUUGCUCCAAAUAUUUGCCAAAUUUUGAAAAAUAUUUAAACACACAGGCUCGACUUUCUUUCCCCAUCCACCCAACCCAAACCCUAGAGAGAAAAAAAAGGAAGGAAAAAAUCAGCAAAAAAAGAGAGAGAAAAUGCGCCGCCGUUGUUCGCCGUUGUGACCCCGCCGCCGGCGAGGCCUCCCCCGCGUCCAUGGAUCUUUCCGCCGCAAGCGCCCUCGCCGUCCUCAGCAAGCUGCAGCUCCUCGGCUUCUGCGUCGGCCUCCAGAUCCCCGACGACGCCGCCGACCCCUCCGAGGUGUUCGACACCAUCCUCGCCGCGUUCCUGGGCGAGGUCUACCCCGGCGAGCGCGAUGCGCGCCCGCUCCCGGCCGCCCUCGGCGACGGGCGCCGCGUGGACCUCCUCCGCCUCUUCACCGCCGUCCGCGCCGCCGGCGGCUACGCCGUGGUCUCGUCGCCCUCUGCCGGCGUCUGGGCCGCAGCCGCCGGAUCCGCGGCCCUCGCCGCGCCCGUCAAGCUGAUCUAUGCCAAGUACCUCGGCGCGCUGGAGCGCUGGAUCCAGAGGCUCCCGGAGGCACAACCACCGCCGUCUGACGAGAUGCGGCAGGAGCUGCUGCUCUGCGUCCGCGGUGCCAAUGGAGUUGAGAUGGAGGAGCCGUCCAUGGACUGCAAUGGGCAGCAUGGCGCGCUCAAGAGGAAGAGGGAAGACAUUGCUGGGAUGCUGGAUUGGGUGAGGGGGCUCGCCGAGAGUGUCUCGGAGGAGGGCGCCAUCGCCGCCGGGUUGGCGGAUGGAUACUUCCCGGUGGCAUUGGCGGCGCGGGAGGCGGUGUCCAGGAAGAGGGCACGCCGCGCAAGCGUGACCAACGGCGCGCUCUCGCAGGUGAUUCCGACACCUUUGAUAAACUUGUUGCUGAAGAUAAUGUUUGACAUAUUGGUAUUGCAUCACUGCACUGCACAUAUAUAGGCAGACAUACAUACAGAAUUGGCACUGGAUUACUUCAGCAAUACAUACAUACAGAGAUGUUAGCUGGCAACAUCUAUCUCUAUCCCUUUGAUCUUCUACGUUUAGGCCCUGUUUCGAUUGUCGUUUUCCUUUUAAAUACCCCUGUAAAAAUACACGUCUGUACCGAAGGAUAAGAUUGUCGUUUUGUUUCCAGCUGAAAAUUGCUCGUGGUCGGUAAUUUAAAGGCCUUAGUGCCACUGGACUGUACUAGUGGAGAUCCACAUAUUAGAUAAUUUGUUUGAUUUCCCCUAAACAUAAGUAAAUAAAUAAAAUUCAUGCUUCAGGUCUUACCAGUCUUUUCAUUAGUGCUUUAAUUAAGGCCUGGACACCCUUGUAAAUUUGGCUACCUACCCUACAAAUGGAGCAUUGCCGUUCCUUUUCUUUCUAAUUUUGAUUGUGCAGAUUGGAUGCUGGUAAAAGAGCAUUUAGAAGAGUAUUUAAAAGGAGCAUUUAACUACUUCUAUCUUCAUUUUGGUGACGUGGUAUAUAGUUCGGGCAAAAUGUGUGAACUUCCCAUUUGCCGUCUCUGUGUUAGAACUUCUGGAGGGAUACGCGGGUGCUACCAACCAGAGGGCAAAAUCUGGCCUAACCCUGCUUAAGCAUUACACUGUGCACAAUUUAAGCUACAGUAUCUUUGCUCCCUGAUGUUCGCUCAUGUAUCAUUGGGAUGACGGAUACUAUAAAUAGAGCUAUGAAAUCUCCCUGAUGCUUUGGCCCCGGAUAUUACCUGUCGGGUACUGUGGGUGGUUGAAAAUAUUUUGUUUGCUUUAUUGCCUUGAAGAUGAUAGUCCCCUAUAAAUAGAGCUAUGAAACCUUACCUUUCUGGCUAAGCCGAUUACUCGGCAACUGGAUACAUAUCUUAUUCAUAGUCACUGAAUGUUUUUUUCUUCUGAUGGCGCAGGAAACUGGUUGCAGGUGCUGCAGGAGUACCACCUGUGCCAGAAUUGGUGUUCAAUGCAGCAAAAUUGUUCAACAACCUGGUUCGGAUACUAAUAAUCUAACAAGAGUUGUUGAUGUGAAUGGAUCCUCGACGGUCAUAGAACAGGCGAGCAGUGUGAACGGACAAUUGAAGCAUUCUAAAAGUCAGCAGAGGAACAAACUACUAGUGGGCUCCAAUUAUCAAGCAGUGGUGCCACAGUGGACUGGCUUUCCGCCUGAAAAUUACGGCGAUCCGGAAACCCUCAAAUGGCUGGGCACAAACAUCUGGCCUCCAGAAAAUGAGAACAAAAUAACCCGAACUUACCAUGACCCUAUUGGCAAAGGCAGAGAAUAUGUUUGCAGCUGCAACGUCCCGCGAUCAGUAGAAUGUGUCAGGUUUCACAUUGCAGAAAGGCGGCUGCAGCUGAGACGUGAACUCGGCCCUGCUUUCUACCAGUGGGGAUUUGACCAUAUGGGCGAGGAGGUUGCCCUUUCUUGGACGGAUGAAGAGGAGGCAAGUUUCAAGGCUGUAAUGCAGACCUAUGCGCCAUCUCCAGCAAGGAAUUUAUGGAACCAUCUUCAGUCAUCCUUCCGCUGGAAGCCGAGGAAAGAACUUGUGAGCUAUUAUUUUAAUUGUUUUCUGCUUAGGCGGAGGUGUUACCAGAAUAGGACCGCACCAAAGAAGAUAGAUAGUGAUGACGAGGAAGAGACAGAGUUUAGGUUUUUGGGAAACCGUAUGGGACAAAGUGCAACCAAGUAUGACAGCACCAAGCGCACCGUUUGCAUUCAGAGUACUCACUGCAUGGAUCUGGAUGAUGAGUAGUUGCUGAUUGAUCACAUUCUAGGAGGCUGGUUGAAGCCUGUUCAGGAGUUUGGAUUUAUAAAUGGCCCCCAUUCAUUGAUUUGGUUGACAUUGCACAUGAGUUGCUGUGAGCAAAGAGUUAGACCAUUUUGCUUACUGUUUUCAGAGCCUUGCCAGCAAUCCAAGUUUUGACAUGGACUUGUAUGUUGUAUCCGAGAAGUAAAAAAAAAUGCACUGGUAUUUAUUUUUGAAACAGAGAACUGCAGGAACAGUAAACUUGAUUUGUACAAGUGAGAGAUGAGGAGGAUAUAUAGAGGCAGAGCUGAUCCAAGCCAGUUGCAGUCUUUGGGGCUGAGAGGAUUAACCUGUUGUAUACAUUGUGGAAUAUUAUGUUGUUAUCAGAGAGAACCUGACUGACUUGUAUCAUCAUCAUCAUGUAUACCUGUAUCCUCUGUGGAUUGACAUGUACAUUGACCAGUAGGUAAAAGUAUAUGGAGUGAUGGCCCGUAUCAUCAUCAUCAUCAUCAUCAUCAUCAUCAUGUACACAGUAGCCCGUUCCGGUCGUAUUUCUCUCUCUAGAUAUGGAGUGAUGGCAGGCAUAGGAAUGAUAUGUUGAGGUUAGUCUUGUGAAACUAAUGUUGCAGUUGUUGUUUGUUGUAGACUGAGCAUGUCUGUUUUAUUUCUUUGGGUUUCGUUCGGCAUCUCAAUAAGUACAUGUCUGUUUUAGUUUAUGAGUUGUUUCUUUUCUUUCUUGUGAGCUAUAAAUAAAUGUCAAAUAGUAUUAUCAACCUUGGGAAAUAUUAUCAACAUUUACUCCUCUGUCACAUAUUAACCGACAGAUAAAUGGGAAUCGGCUUUAGCAUAGUCUGAUCUGAUGUACUAGAAUUUAGUUCCAAUUUUGAAUUUUAGGCAUUAGCUUUGGUGGUGCUGUGCUGUGCUGUGCUGUGCUGUGUAGGUUUGGUGGUGCAAGAUGACGGCGUCGUCUUGCUGCUGCUUCCGACUGCUGUUGAGUCGGUGUCUGUUUCCCAAGAUUAUGCUUGUGGGUUUUGAUCUGAAGAAGAAUAAAUUGGAGCUUAGCGAAUUGAGGUUGGUUUCUACGUACGUAUUUGGUUUGGUUAGCCAUCCCGUCCCGUGGUUAAUUUUUUUUGGCUGGCCAUGUUUAUGUUGCUAGUACUGUAACCAAAUCUGAGAUGAGUCUGCAACUGUAAACUAGCUUGUGGCAAGCAUCUGAUCAUUUGAAAUCUGCAGUCUUGUCCGUGUGAGUGAUGCAUCCCGUCGUUUAAUAUUUUGGCCAUUAGCUUUGGUGGUGCUGUUCUCUGUUGUGCUGUGUAGGUUUGGUGCUGCAAAGGUUCAAGUCAGUACCUGUUUCCCAAGAUUGUGCUUGUGAAAAAUGUUCGUGAAAGUUUCUUGGAUUUGGAAAAAGAUCAUGAGUUCAAAAGAUGUUCAAUAAAUGAAAAAUUGUUCCCGAAUUUUAAAAUAGAUCACAAAUUUGAGAAACAUUCAAAAAUUCAAAAAAAUAUUCACAGAUUGAAAAGUGUUUGUGGAUUUGAAACAAGUUCAAAAAUUCAAAGAAAAUUGUUAAAUGAAAAAUAUUUGCACAUUUGAAAAAUAUCACAAAAUUAAAAAUAGUUCAUGGAUUUAACAAAGUUCAUGAACUUGAGAAAAGGUCUCAUUUUUUUAAAAAAAAAUGCGAAUUUGAGUAAAGUUCAUGAACUUGAAAAAAUAUUAACGAUUUAAAAAAUGUUCAUCAUUUCAAAAUGUAAAAAAAAGAAAAGAAAAAAAUGAAUGAGUAAAAAGAGUAAUGAAAACAACAAAGAAACUGAAAGAUAAAUCAAAAUAGUACUAAAAAAGAGAACGGAAAAUAAUGUGAAAACCAGAAAGGAAAAAACCAAAUAGAAAACCAUGGCUGGAAAAUACAGAAAGACUGUCAAAAAAAGAGAAACCGAAUAGAAAACCAUGGCUGGAAAAUACAAAAAGACUGUCAAAAAAAAAGAGAAACCGAAAAGAAAACCAUGGCUGGAAAAUACACAAAGACUGUAAAAAAAAAGAGAAACCAUGCGAAAGAACAUUCUAGAAUGUUCCCAAAAGCGGCAAUUAACCACACUGUUCCAUGGGCCAGGCCGUUAGAAGUAGCAGCCCCCCACCUGAGCUCUCGCUACGAAUAAAGAGCUAUCACCAGAUAGGAUAUACCCCUAAAAAAACCAGAUAGGAUAUGGCUAAAACUUGCGUGUCUCAAAUGUUUUUGUUGGAUAUUUAUGCAAAAUAUUUUAUUUUUGAGCCCGUCAAAAAAUAUUUUAUUUUAUUUUUGAGAGACAUAUCAUUUAAGGACGCGUCUACACAGCGGCCGGCUGCUCCCUGUCGUUUCGGAGCAGCCGGCCAAAAUACAAAAAGUUUGAUAUGUAAUCCAUAAAAAGAAAUGUCUUGUCCUUAUGUCUUGUCCUUUUUGUCCUUUAUAUUGAUUAGAUUUUUUUCCAUCUGGUCCUUUUUUCAUGACAUAUUAAAUGCCCGAAACAGUUAUCUUUUAGAUGUAGAGUGCAUGUGCAUUUAAUUUGUGGUUUUAAAUUUUCAAAAAACAAUAACUUUCAAAUUGCGCAUCAAAAUUAAGAUUCGUUUUCACUACUGGAACCAUCGCGGCGUGCUCUUCGAAACUAAAUCCCACAUGAGUAUAUUUCGACGAAUUUUUUUGUGCAAUUUUGUCCCCGUUUUGUGCAACUGACUAACCGUUGUUGUGUAACUACCUGACAGGGAUGUGCAACUUUUCUCGUACACUGUAGACAUGCAGUUUUUCUCUAUGGUGCCUCCACCUUCAAACUGCCUCCUUUCAGUGAGAUGUGCAACUUCGUUUGUUGUCUAGGCCAUGCAGUUUUCACUAGUGGCACCACCCCAUACUACUCUCUAACAGUGAAAUGUGCAUUUUCGCUGUGCCCUAGCCAACUGCCUAGUAGUCGUCGUGUGUGGGCAGCCCCCACAACCGUGUUCGAGGGACUAUCCUAUGAGGAUGUCCCAACUCCACGGUCACGCAUGUGCGACUAUGCACACAAGAGUGUGCAACUCCGUGGUCGGACGUGGGCAUCUCCCACAGUAGUUCAUGUGCGACUAUGCAGACGAGAUUGUGCAACUGUGUGGCCAUGCAUGUGCGACUAUGCUGAUGAGAGUGUGCAACUCCGUGGUCGGACAUGACCACGUCCCACAAAAACUUAUGUGCGACUAUGCGGACGAGAUUGUGCAACUCUGUGGCCAUGCAUAUGCGACUGUGCCGACGAGAGUGUGCAACUCCGCGGCCAUGCAUGAGCACCUCCCACGAUAAUUCAUGUGCGACUAUGCGGACGAGAUUGUACAACUCUGUGUUCAUGCAUGAGCAUCUCCCACGAUAAUUCAUGUGCGACUAUGCGGACGAGAUUUUGCAACUCUGUGUUCGUGCAUGUGCAACUAUGCCGACGAGAGUGUGCAAUCCCGCGGCCAUGCGUGAGCACCUCCCACGAUAAUUUAUGUACUAUGCACACGAGAUUGUGCAACUCUGUGGCCAUGCAUGUGCGAUUAUACCGACGAGAGUGUGCAACUCCGCGGCCGGGCAUGAGCACCUCCCACGACAAUUCAUGUGCGACUAUGCGGACGAGAUCGUGUAACUCUGUGACCAUGCAUAUUGUGCCGACAAAAGUGUGCAACUCCGCGGCCAUGCGUGAGCAUCUCCCCACGGACCCGCGACUAAUGCAUUGCGUCCUUGCAUCGACAAUGACCCGGCGGAGAUCAUCAUCAUCGGGCACAUCGUCUGGUUCCUCUUGAUCUUCAGCAGCUUCACCCGUGGCAGCAUCAUUGGGCACAUCGUCUGGUUCCUCUUGAUCUUCACCAGCUCCCCACGUUGCAGCAUCACCGUAUUCAGGGGGCACAUAGUUGUCAUCGUACUCUUCUUCUUCGCCGUCUUCCAUCAUAACCCCUAUUUCUCCGUGCCUCGUCCAAACAUUAUAGUGUGGCAUGAAACCCUUGUAAAGCAGGUGGGAGUGAAGGAUUUUCCGGUUAGAGUAAGACCUCAUAUUCCCACAUUCAGUGCAUGGACAACGCAUAAAACCAUUCUGCUUGUUUGCCUCAGCCGCAUCGAGAAACUCAUGCACGCUCUUAAUGUACUCGCGGGUGUGUCUGUCACCGUACAUCCAUUGCCGGUUCAUCUGCGUGCAUUAUAUAUAAUUAAGUGUCCAAAUUAAUAGAAGUUCAUCAUCACAUUAAAACCAAAGUGCAUACAUAGUUCUCAUCUAACAACAUAUAGCUCUCCAGAGCAUCUACUUAAUUAAACCAUACAUUGAAACUAUGUAAAACAUUUCAAUGCGAAAACAAAUGCGAUCAUAAUCGCAACCAAGGUAACAAUUGAUCCAACGGUAUAAUGAUACCAAGUCUCGGUAUGAAUGGCAUAUUUUCUAAUCUUUCUAAUCUUCAAGCGCAUUGCAUCCAUCUUGAUCUUGUGAUCAUCGACGACAUCCGCAACAUGCAACUUCAAUAUCAUCUUCUCCUCCUCAAUUUUUUUUUAUUUUUUCCUUCAACAAAUUGUUUUCUUCUUCAACUAAAUUUAACCUCUCGACAAUAGGAUCGGUUGGCAUUUCCGAUUCACAUACAUCCUAGAUAAAUAAAAUCUAUGUCACGUUGGUCGGCAUAAUUUUCAUAAACAAUAAAUGAACCAAUAGUUAUAAAGAUAAUAUACAUACCAAAUCCGAAUCAUAGACAGGACGAGGGCCGACGGGGGCGGAUACCAAAACCAUCGCACUAUAUAAGAUGCAAUAAUAAAUGUAAGAAAAUGAUACAAGUAUCUAUCUAAACAUACAAGUAAGAAUAUUUUUCCUUUCAGAAAGAAGAUAAGAACAAGAGGCUCACCACGGUGGUGUCGGUGAUGAGAUCGGCGCGGGUGAUCGACGGCGGUGAAGACGGGGAUGGGGCGUGACGGACCGCUAAAUCUAGACAAAUCUCGAGGAAAAUGGAGCUUGGAGGUCGAGCUUCGAGAGGAGAAAGCUUAAUAGUGUGGCUCGGGCAUUCCAUCGAACACCUCAUGUGCAUAGGAGGUGAGCUAGAGCACCACAAAGCCCUCUCCCCCUCGGCCAGAAAAAACAGAGCACUGUGCUCUGCUCUUGCGCGAGGGGGUAUAUAUAGGCACCUCAUUGGUCCCGGUUGGUGGCAUGAACCGGGACCAAAGGGGAGCCUUUGGUCCCGGUUCAAGCCACCAACCAGGACCAAUGGUAGUGGGCCAGGAGCGAGGCCCAUUGGUCCCGGUUCGUCCCACCAACCGGGACCAAAAGGUCCAGACGAACCGGGACCAAUGGCCCACGUGGCCCGGCCGGCCCCCUGGGCUCACGAACCGGGACCAAUGCCCACAUUGGUCCCGGUUCUAUACUGAAUCGGGACUAAUGGGCUGAGCCGGCCUGGACCAUAGCCCUGUUUUCUACUAGUGAACCGUGCCGACGAAAGUGUGCAACUCCGCGGCCAUGCGUGAGCAUCUCCCCACGACAAUUCAUGUGCGACUAUGCGGACAAGAUUGUACAACUCUCUGUACAUGCGUGUGUGACUAUGCCGGCAAGAGUGUGCAACUCCGCGUCCGGGCGUAAGAACCUCCCACGAUAAUUCAUGUGCUACUAUAUGGGCCAGAUUGUGCAACUCUGUUGCCAUGCAUGUGCGACUGGGCCGACGAAAGUGUGCAACUUGGCGGCGGGGCAUGAGAACAUCCCAUGAUAAUUCAUAUGCGAUUAUACGGAUCAGAUUGUGCAACUAUAUGGUUAUGCAUGUGCCAAAUAAAACUAGUAUAUGUGCAACUACAACUAGUGUGAGUAUCAACUAGCCAUCCAGGAAGAGUCUAGAUGCACGAACACACAGCCGCGUGCAGACCACCGCGAUGCAUUCAUCCGUGCUCCCUUCUUCUUGUCCUUGCCACGUGCUCCCUUCUUCCCGUCCACAACAAGGAUGCAUGCACCCUUCUCAUUCACUCCCAGCCUUUUGGAUCAAUGGAUUCGGAGGGAGGCGCUCUACAUUUGUACUGCUACAUAGAAAUAAAAUGGAGUGAGAAAGAAGAUGUGGCUGCAGGAAGAAAAGAGCGAGAAGAGAAUCUGAAUUUGCUUUCCCCCUUGUUUGACCCGUUCCUCCCCUUACAUGUGUUAUUCCCUGAGGUGCUGCUGCCUGAAGAGAAUCUGAUGCCGCAAAGAAAAUAUGGAUGCUAAUAAACAGAGAACUGCAGGAACAGUAAACUUGAUUUGUACAAGUGAGAGAUGAGGAGGAUAUAUAGAGGCAGAGCUGAUCCAAGCCAGUUGCAAUCUUCGGGGCUAAGAGGAUUAACCUGUUGUAUACAUUGUGGAAUAGUAGUAUGUUGUUAUCAGAGAGAACCUGACUGACUUGUAUCAUCAUCAUCAUGUAUACCUGCUUUCGCCCCCUCAUUUUUUAUCCUCUGUGGAUUGACAUGUACAUUGAGCAGUAGGUAUAAGCAUACCUGACAGUAGCUUGCUCUAGCCUAUUCUGGUUGCAUCUCUAGAGUGAUGGCAUAAAUAGGAAUAGAACGUUGAGGUUAGUCUUGUGAAACUAAUGUUGCAGUUGUUCUUUGUUGUAGACUCGGCAUAUUUUAUUUCUUUGGGAAUUUUGUUGUUCCGGCAUCUCAAUAAGAACAUGUCUAUUUGUCUACUAGCACAUAUACCCGUGCGUUGCAACGGGAAAAAUUGAUGUUUUGUUUUCAAGCAUAAUGUCUUGUAGCACCGGAUUCACUGCGAAGAACAUGCUGCAAUGCAUCAUCCUUUCACAAAAUGAACAUAAAAAAUAGGAUGCAAUUUAUUAGCAUCCAUAUUUUCUUUGCGGCAUAACCUUCCACUAAUUCCGAUUAAGUAUAAUCCUUCCUUUAGUUACAAUGACGUCCUCACCCAUUUUAGUCGGGAAUCAAAUCCUUCCUUUUCUAAUUUAGUAGCCCUUAGCCACAUCCAUUUAAAUAUCCUAUUUAAGCCCACAAUCCUUCCUUUAGUUAGCUCACUCGCUUAAUUAGCUCGCCCUACACGUGAGGGCUGCUCUCCUUUGUUUUAACCGUCCGUUGGUUGAUUCCUGAGACCGCUUGUAUAUUUACUGGUGGUAACCAUUGUAAAAGAGCGAGGUGGGAUUAGUGAACGUGAAAGAUGCAUAGCUCGCUGGUUGUUACAUCAAAGAGCUAGACAGGAGGUACCGUGUUUAAUUUCCACAAUGUUGAUUUGUUUUGACCCAAUUAUUUUUCGCGGUCUCUAUGUAAGCCCAUAGAAGGCCCCGUGUGUACGACAGUACGAGCGAACCAAACCAAACCAAUAAUACCUAUUCCCUUUAAUAGUAGGUAUAGAUAUAGAUAUCGAUAUAGAUAUAAAUAAACGAGUUGUUUCUAGCGGCAGCAUUUUCCUUUUCUUUCUUGUGAGCUAUAAAUAAAUGUGAAAUAUUAUCAACCUAAGCACCACACUUAUUUACUCCUAUGUCAGAGAUUAACCGACAGACAAAUGGGUACCAUACUGUCUGAUGUGCUACAAUUUAGUUCCAAUCGAACAGCUUGCAUACCUUUUUUUAGAACGAAGGCUCAAGGGGAGCCCGGCUUUGAAUUAAUGAAGCCAUCAACCGGCCAGGAUUACACAAGGCCACCAAGCAAUAGCGACCAAAAGAUACAAUGGAGCUUAGUGAACAGCUAACAAUGCAACACACACUACAACAAAAAGAAAAAUACAUGAAGAGCCCUGCUAGUAGUGUCGAAGCCUACUGCACAUAGUCAGCAGAGAGAGGAGCAACAGAGAAGCCUCGAUGAUCAGCCGAUAGCCAGAGAAAGGUGUGAACUGUCUGAACCCAAAGACUAGGGAAGAACAUCGCUCCCAACGCGAAAGAGGAACCCUUUCCUCUCGCCUAGGCUCGAAGGCGCUCACCCGAGAACUAGAGCAGACGCCAGCCAAAUCCCCAUCGCAGACAAGUUGCACAACCCUCGCCACACCGCUGGCACACACCACAGCUGCACUGCCACCUCUCCUGAACAACCAAGAGCAGAAGGAUAGCCGUCGGGAGGUCGCCGAAGAAGAAAGCUGCAGAGGCCAAGAGGCGGAGCAGGGGAGCACCAGGUCCCGUUCCAAUGGCCGCAAGAGGGACUCUUGCGGGAACGAGCACCCUCCACAGAAAGACGCAAACUUGGCCUCGCAGCCGACGGACGCUCACCAACCACAUCGUCCCUCUCCUGAAGAACCAGACACCCCAGACGACGCCUCCAACGAGGACGCGACGCGCUAGGCGCCGCCGCCGGCCAACCCGAGACGGGUUUUGGGUUUUCACCCGGGGUCUGGGACAGGGGUGAAGAGGAGAGCCCUCAACGGCGCCUCCAGGGGAGAACACGACGCGCACACGCGCCGUCGCCGUCGUGGCCGAAGGACCGGCCAAGGGUUUCCCCAGGGCUCGAACCUGAGCACCCGCACCCCGCCAGCACCGGAUCUGGCGACCAGAGUCGCAGAAGGGCACGACCGAAGCGGAGGAGAGAGCAGGGGAGGAGGGCGCCUGACCUUGAGAUCUGGGACAGAGGGAAUCCGCACCGCGACCACCCGCUGUAUCCACGCUGCCCGGGCAGCCGAGGAUGCCGGCCACCACUUCCUGCGCGUGCCGCCAGUCGCGGAGGCAGCGCCGCCUCAUCAUCCGGGGCCGCUGCCCUGGCUUCCAGGUCCUUCGCGGGGGCACGAAGCAACGCAUCACCUCACCGCCACCUUCAUCGACGACCCACCAGGCUUGCCCGUCGAUCCCCUCAGGUGGCGGCGUUGAGGGGCUGGGAUUGAGGGGGUGGCGGCGCGGGGGAAACCCUAGUCGCCCCCGAGUCGCCCUCGGGAGGACGACGCGAGGGCGGGGGGAGGAACGAUCUCAAAGUGUUCAAUGCACGUCCCAACAGCUUGCAUACUUAGAAUUCAGUAUCAUAGUUCCUAUCGAUUGAUGUUAUUAUUGGCCUAAGAAACUUGGUUCUCUUUCGCAAUGGGAAUUCGACUGACUGUACCAUGACCAAUAUUCAUGGUACUGAAGCAUUAUGUCAAUGUUUUAUCCCGGUUUUUGUGGGAAUUCAGUAGCGUAGUCUGGUGUGUUGUUUCCAACCAGUUAAUGCUAUUUCAGGUGAAUUCCAGUUACGCGUAUUUAUGUUGAUCUAACAAUUAAUGGUGCUUGCAUUCUUGGAAUAUUUGCACUGCAUCACCUAUGUUUUCAGCAUAAAAGUCUGAAACUGGGAUUACGUAUGCAAAUUGUUUAUUGGAUAUACAAUACUUCCUCUAGGGCUGUUUCUGGCAGUAUUAUUUUUAUUUAAGUUUUUUCAUUAAAAAGAGAAGAAAAUAAAUUCUCUGAGUAGUCCGUCCCGCACACCUUUCGAUACUGCUUGGACUCCAGUCCAAGGACUUGGCCCCUGCUUUACAUUCAAAGGAGAAGAAAAAGAAAAAGAAAAGGAGGAAGAAUCUGACAGUAAAAUCUUUAUUCUUCAAGUAGCUCCAGCCUCAAGCAAAGAAGCAGCCAGCUACAGAUGCCUUGGCUAAAACUAAAGCAACCCCUGCACUGCACUGCAUACCAGCAAGUCCUUCUGCUAUAGAUCUGCACACAAGGUUAAGCUACUAUCAAUCAAAACCACUAAUAUGCAUGAUUCUUCUGUUACAUAUAUUAUUUUUCUCAUCUUAAUUGCUUGAUGUUUCUCUUCUUUCCAAAAGAACAAUCAUUUUUAAUUAUGCAUCUACUAACAAUGUUUCUUCAGGCAGGCACGGACAUAACUAUCUCUUGCGCUCUUCUGGUAUAAGUAACUACUAGGUGCCAUCCGGAGGUGCAGAUCGAUCGAUGGGUUAGAUGUCUGGUUUGCUGGGCCUCCAUUGAAAUACUAGUCGUCAUGCCUCGACAGGUAUUAAUUUGUUUGCCUACACACGCAAUUCUUCUGGUGCUAUGUUAUAUAUGUCAGAGAUUCUUUUCUUAGUUGAUUCUUGAGUAAAAAUUGUUACUUUCUUCUAUUAUUACAUUCAAGAAUUAAUUACGUGUUCAUUAGCUCCAUGGAUCAACCAAGAUGGCAACAUCACACACACACACACACAGACACAGACACAGAGGAUGCAAUUUCAGGCUUAAUAUUAUUACUGGAGCUAGGAGGCUAGUUAGAAGGGGACGGACCACUAUCCAUCCUUUCCUUCUAACACUGACCACCAAAUCAAAACAUCACUUCUGCUCUGUCCGACUAACACUGGCCCCACGCAUGCAGUUUAGUUAAUUACUAAUGUCCAUCCGAAUAAUAACACAAGGCCUUUUUCGUAUACAUGUUUCUACUGCUAAUCAACUAACUGUUAUAAACUAAUGCAGAGGAUUUUCCCGAAUACUAUCAAAGAAGCCGUGCAAGAGAUAAUCCCCUAUUUGGAGGAUACGAGCAAUGCUGCACACAAGGCCAUAUAUUUUGAUGGAUGGGAUGGGAUGGCUGCUUCGGUGGUGCUUAGAGCCAUAGUUGAAGACCCGCCACCGUCACUGCUGAAGAAAUUCGACAAGAUCAUCCAUGUUGAUUGCUCGAAGUGGAAAAGCCAAAGAGCACUCCAAAGGACAAUCGCACAAGAACUGAAGCUCCCUCAUCGGGUAAUGGAUAUUUUGGAUAGGCAAGAUGAAGAUGAUGAUUUCAGAGGGGUAGAUGAAAGCUCCAGAGCUGAGAUUGGAGUCAUUGCGAGGGAGCUACAUAAAGCCCUACGAGAACACAUAUGCUUAUUGGUCUUCCAUAAUGGCAGCAACAAUUUGGUUGACUUGGCUGAUUGUGGCAUUCCUCAACCGCCUAUCUUUGAUGUUAAGGUAUUGUGGACAUUUCGAGGAAGGCUUCGGCUCAACCAAGGAAUUAGUGAGAAGGUGGAUCCUUCGCAUCUUUUCCUUUAUGAUGAGUACAGUACUUACGGGUGGAAUUAUUUGCUUCAAAUAGAGGCUAGAGAAAUUGCUGGGUACACGGAUAAUCUUGGUGCAGCAGCAGCUACCGAGUGUUGCUUGUAUCUCUUGUCAUUAAAUUCUCAAGGAGGCAAUAUCAUGGACUAUGACUGGGCCACACAUGCUUCCAACUAUUGGGUAUGUGAUGGGAUUAUACAGGGAGGUCAGGGUGAUGAAGCAUGGAAGGUUGCUGCUGCUCUGCAUCAACAUAUAGAUAUGGAGGAUUAUGCAUCUAAUGCACUGCCCUCUUUUGGUCAUCGGUUGGAGACUCCUCCGAAACGAUGGAUAUUGGCCAAGGACAGCUCUGUUGUGCAGCCAGAGUCAACGUCAUUUUUCCUCACUGCAGCCGCAAGCGAGUCUGAUCCAUUGUUAAGACCCUUACCUAAUGACAUGUUUCAUCAAUCGGACAAACUUCGGGUGCUCAAGUUAUGUCAUUGCACCUUCAGUUUUUCCUCUCCUCCUUUUAGUCGUUGCCACAAGUUGAGAUUCCUUGGAUUAGAUGGCUGCAAGGACCAGCGAGCAGAAGAAGAUGAGAAGCAAGAUAUGGAUUUUUUGAAGAGCCUAUGGGUGAUAGACAUACAAAAUACAGACUGGCAUCUGCCUUCAUCACCAGAGAUGAUAAAGCAGAUGGCUGCAAACAUUAGGGAAGUACAUAUAAAGAAUGGAAUGUUUUGGCACAUCAUUUUUGCAUUGGGACAGCCACAAAAUCUUCACAAGCUUCGCGUUAUUGACCCUACAUGCUGCUCUUUGGAGACAGGUUUGCCCAGCUUGUCAAGUUCAACUAGCCUCAAGACUCUGGUUCUAGAUGGUCGUGUUGGUUUGAAAGUUAUAGAAGGACUCCCUCCAUCCCUUGAAUCAUUCAGCUUAGAUGCCAGACCAAAAAAGGAUGGUUACAAGGAAGCCAAAAUAAGUCGCAUCUCCAUGGCUGGCUGUGCAAGAUUGUCUGACUUCACACUGCGUGGAUCACUUCCAAACCUUGAGGAGCUGGACCUCUCAGGCACAGGAGUCAAGACACUUGUCCUUACAACUCAGGUGGUGCUGGCCCCAUGUCUCCAGCGAGUCAUGCUGUUGGGAUGUGAGCAACUCCGUGCUGUGCUUUGGCCAGAAAUGGGGAUGCCCCAACUAAGUUUGCUCUGCAUUGACACUCGAGGAGGAGAAGAGGUCGGAAGAAUACCACCUGGUUUUGAUAAGUUAAAAAAGGGUGAUUGUCAAGCAUAUGUUGCUAUGAUGGACAUGAAAUUCAUUCAGUUAUUGGUGCUAACAAGUUCCAAUAUGUUUUGGAACACUAACAUUGAUAUGUUCAAUCUAAAUCUCUGCAUAUCUGCAAGUGGACAGUGGCGCAAUAAGAAGAAUAUGGACUCUGAUAACAGUGGGGAAAAAUUGGGGCCAGCCCUAGCAAAGCCAUUAAUGUCCAAUUCUUCUCACAACCCCUACAUUGAUGCAGGUAUUGACAACAUAAGUAUAGAUCAUGACUACAACAGUGCAUCCCAAUUUCAGUCAUCGACCUACCAUGUGGAGAUUGGUGAUGGAAUUAGCAACACUUGUGUCGAUAGCAUACAAGCAACCAAGGCUAUGAUCUUUGCAACGAACAAGGCCAAGUCGUUGUGUGUGCAUGACAAUUCUUCCAUCACCACAGUCAUCCCAGAACACAUGAUGUCCAUAGAGGGAGAGAAACUUUUAUGGCUAGAACUGGAAUCUUGUCACGUGGUGAGAUGCCCCAAGAUGCAUACAGUCUUCAAUACUAUCUAUGGAUACAUCAGAUUUCCAAAACUAGUGAACUUUUGUGCGGCUGAUCUGCUGAUGACCCAUUGCAUUUGGAGCAAAGAGAGGACACUCAAUGUUGAAGAUAAUCGCUCCUUUGCGAAACUGCAGAGCAUACACCUGUUCUCCUGCCCGAGGCUCACAUUUGUCCUCCAGUGGUCCAGGUUAUACAUCUUGAGUAGCCUGGAGACCCUCCACAUCGUCUUCUGUGGUGAUCUAAGGCAAGCGUUCCCUGUGGCGCCAGAGGUUCUGACAAGAAUAGCUAACUACCAUAAAGGUGUACUGGAAUUCCCAAACCUGAAGCAUAUCUACUUGCAUCAGCUCUUCAAGCUGCAACAUAUAUGUGAAGCCAAGAUGUUUGCUCCCAAGCUGGAGACCAUCAGGGUGAGGGGAUGCUGGGGUUUGAGGCGGCUCCCGGCUGUCGGCCGAGACAACCGCCCAGUUGUGGACUGCGAGAAGGAUUGGUGGGAGAAGUUGGAGUGGGACGGGCUGGAGGCUGGCCAUGACCCUUCCCUCUUCAAGCCACGCCACUCGGCGUAUUACAGGAAGCCCCUGCCUAGAUGCUCAGUUCUGUGUGUGUUUCCUUCCUCAAGAAUAAAGUGGUGCAUCAAGGCUUAAUCGUUUUGUGUGUGUCUCCAUGCAAAGGACUUAUGUAUCAUUGUUGGUGUGGUUUGUUUUCUGCUCAUGUGUGUGUUUUCUCAAGACAGAUUCAGUACAGCAGCAUGUGUACCUUGUUGGAAUUAACCACGCUGCCUAGUCUGUGUCCGUCUCGGACCAGAACACAUCACCGAGUAGGGCUUGUAGUGGUACGCUAGAUUAGCUACUAUAUAUAUAAUCCUAUGUAUCCCCUGUAAUCUUGUACUUAGACCAGUUGUGUACGUGUGUGUGCCACCGUAUACUAAGGCGUCUGUAGUCUACACGCGCGUUGCUGUGGCCAAAAGGACCGGCCAGGAUUUUAGAAAGUACUUCGACGGGCAGCAUCGACGUACGGGAUCUGUGCCAACAUACCUAUGCUGGACUGAGAAUGCCAAAAGAUCUUGGUGUGAUGUACGUACAUGGAUUAUUAUAUCAACUGAGUACGUAUUUAUUUAUUUGGUUCCAUUACCUAGAGAUUGAUCUCAAUCUCCUUUCCUUGCAAUCCAUCUCCGUCUUCCUAUUUUCACAGAUAAUCUGCAUCUUUCAUAAUCCUGAUCGUUCUUAACCUGAUUGCUAGCGCCUAGUAUGCAUCUCCUGCUCCUGUUAUUAAUGAUCCAAUAUUGGGUCUCCAUAGUACCCAUAAUUGGUUGAUAAUUGAUCAAUUGGACAUUGUUUGACCUAUAAUAUAUUAUAUGGGAUUCGUCUUUUUUUUGGUGUGUGUUCGACCGACGUGAUGAGCGAUAAGAUUUUAUUGAGUUUGUCCAGUAGAUUUGUAACUUUGUACUAGUUUUUGAAAUACUAAAUUUUCCUCAAAUUUCAUCACUUUUGUCUCAUCCAAAAAAUUAUGCAUCUAGAAAUAUUAGAAAAAAAUGAAGGUAAAGUAUAAUAUGCUUUUAGAUGCAUUUUAGUGUUUUUUUUGUAACAUUUCAUUUAAACAUAGCGCACACAUUAAUUAUUAUUUUUGUAUAUAUAUUAAAGGGCCAGGGUUAUAGUUUCUCCCUGGGCCCCCAGAAUCUCAGGACCGGCCCUGCCCGAGAUAUGGGAGGACACACUUGAGCAGGUCGACAUCUUCGUCAUGGGCAUCGGCAGCAGCGGUACCAUCACCGAAGUCGAUAAGUUCCUCAAGGAGAAGAACCCCAACACAAAGAUCUAUGGAGUUGAACCUGCCGACGCAAAUGUUCUGAAUGGUGGCAAGCCAGGUGGGCUAUCAAUGUCCUCUUCUUCUUUUUCAUACUAGAUGUCUUCCCUAGUUUUUGUUCCUUCUCAUGCUGCUAACUCCCUCUCUGAGAUCUACUCGGAGCGUGCCUGGCUGCGGCGGGGCUGACCCCUCCUCUACCUCAACAAGCUGGACCGCGGGCUCUCCACCAGAUUGGAUCCGGCGGACCGCGGGCUCUCCCCUAGAUCGGAUCCGGCGGUUUGCGGGCUCUCCCCCACCCUCAGUCCACGGCGGUGCCUGCUCCGAAUUGCGGUGACGUUGUGUGUGUCACGGUGGUUCUCUGUUGACACCUCACCUCUCCGGCCUGCCGCCCACCUCACUCGGUCGGUGGAGUUGGCUCCGGCGUCGUGGUUAUUGUGGCAAUGUUGCUCGUUCCCCUGCGGCGGCUAAUUUUGGCGGUGCACCUUUAAUGGCACGGCUCCGGCCACGGCGGUCUCUGGGCAUGUGGGGCUGUGGCGAUGUGGUGGCCUUCUGCGUGUGCGGUGCGGGCCGUUGACAUUGCGAUCCUUGGUUGGUGGUGGUGAUUUUGAUCAGAUUCAUCGGGCAGUGGUGACUACUGACUGUUCAGUAGUGACUUCCUACGGAUCCAUGACUGCGAGGUUAUCGAAAAGACUUCGAGAGGUUUUAUCUCUUGAUACGGUGGAUGACUUUCUGUGGUGUGAUACAAAUUAUGGACAACGAGUUGACGCACAGGGAUGUUUGGUGGAGUGGUGGCGGUCAAAUUGUAGUUGUUGGUAUUUCGAAAAAGUGGUGGCGACAACACAUGUGUGGCUUUGAUGGUGGUGCUGUGAGCACCUGGUCUCGAGCUCCGGGGCAAAAGCCUAGGUCAGACCCGAGUGGUCAUACCUGGGAAUGGCGAUGUUUUCUAUGUCGUUACCUUGUUGGAGGCAUUGCUCGGAUAUGUUCAGACUAUUAUUCAGGGUGAAAACUUUGAUUCUGGCCUUUGUGGUUGGAUCCGAUGACGGCGGCGCUUGAGUGUCGCUUCCUUCCUGAAGGCAUUGCUGUUGAAGAUCAUCGGCCUCCAUGUGAUGUCAAUAGUUGGUGCGGACAUGGUCUCAGUUGUAGUUUGUCGAUUGCUGAUCUAAUCUUUUUGGAGGUUUUUACCUUUUCUUUUUAUUUUUUCCAUGCCUAUGCAUAGCUUUUUGUCUUGUGACCUUGCUAGUUCUUGGCGUGUUUAUCCGCGCGCGUGUGUGUGUGUGUGUGUGUGUUGGGUUGGUUGUGUGCAUCCUAGUUAUGCAGAGGCCGGAUGUGUGCUCAUAUUGUAUCUUCUCGAUGCUCCAUUUGAGCCAAUAAAAUUCACCCUUUAUCGAAAAAAUGCUGCUAACUGAACCUAACUUCAGGGCCUCACCUUAUCACUAGAAACGGUGUGGGAUUUAAGCCAGAUAUUUUGGACAUGGAUAUCUCUACUCUUACAGAAAAAUCAAGUUGGUGAUGAUGAUGUGCCUGCCAUCUUACAAUAUAGACCGUUCGAUCUAUAUCUGAUGGAUAGAAUGCAAACUAUGGCAAUUUUGCAAAAAUAUACCCGCACCUCUCUCCACAUUUGCAGAUAAGGCACGGGACUAUGGUGCACCUCUAUCCACAUUUGCAGGCGCGGGACGAGGCCGCAGCAAGUGGAGCGGCAGAGCGAGGCAAGGCUCGGGCGCGCGGCGCGGGGGCACGCCUGGCGGGGCGGGGCGCGGCUAUGCAGGGACAGGACGGGGCGCGGCCCCGAACGGCGAGCAAGGGAGGGGACGAGCACAGGGCGAGGGAGAGAGAGAAGGGGUGCCUCACUGGGAUUCGUAGGGAUUUCGGGCAGCGGGCUCGACGGAGUUCGGGGAGGGCCGUUGUGGAGGAGGACGAGGACGACGGCAUCGGGGAGGCAGGCCGGUGGGGGAGCGCCAGCGAGGUCCAGGCGGGGAGGAGGAUGGGAAGGCACGGCGCUUGGCGAUCCGACGAGGACCAGGCGGCGGUGACGUGGUCCAACGACGAGAUCUGGGGGGCGCGACGUCGGGCUUGCAGGGAGGGCGUCGUUGCCCCCCGAUCCAGAUCGGGGGAGAGGGAGGAGCGGGGUCGUGGGGGGAGUGGGGGGUGGUUAGGUUAGGGUUUGGGUGAGGGAGUGGAUAAGGAGGGGGUAGUGGGCCGGCCGGCUGGGCCUGGUGGGCGAAUGGGCCGGCCCGUUGGGUCUGCUGGCCCGGGGGGGUCUUUCCCUCUCCUUUUCUUCUUGUUUUAGUUUUAGUCUUUCUGUCUUGUUUUUAUUUAUUUUAUUUUCUGUUUAAUUUCAUUUUAAACCAUUUAGACAUUUUAUAAAAAUGUGUUUGCUGCACCAUAAUUACCCUUAUAAUAUUUGGCAACCAUCGAACAUUUUUGUUUCUAUUUUCGAAAACUUUUAUUGUCGACAUUAAUUUUAAAUUUGAAUUUGACGCGGUUUGAACUAACGGACGUUUAGCAACAGUAAUCGGGAUGACGUGGCAUGAUUAGCGUGGGAUUACUGUAGCAAGAUUAUCCGGGCGUUACAUCUGGCGACCCACACAGCGCACACGGCCCCGAAGCCGGGCCAUUCCUUUUUGCAAUGUUAACAGAUGUGGGAAGUCGAUCGCAUAACAGCUGCCAGAGGAAUACCUUAAUUUUCAGAGGGACGCGGGCUUGCCAAAGCCCUUUUGCCACUGUCUGUACCGACCCUUGGCACAGUUUGUGGUACAAAGACUUGAUAGAGAACUUCCCGGACGCGUUGAGGUGCCAAGAAACCCUAUCUCGUUCCUCAGUUAGUGUCACGGGGGCUAUGAGUUGCAGCAAAGCCUCCCACUUUGUUGUUUCCUGCUCGUUCAGGUUACGGCGGAAGGCAAUGGCCAGGGGAUGAGCCAAUGCCUCUGCCACUUGCUGGUCCGACGCCACAGCUAGAGCAUACAACUCUGGGAACACUUCCCAGAGAGGGCCUGUGCCCACCCAGUAAUCUAGCCAGAAUCGGGUGGAGCGACCAUUACCGACUUGGAACUUAGCACCUUUACCGACCAUUACCGGCCGCCUCAUCUGCCAUUCUCGAGUCUGUUCCUCAUGUGGACCUCGUGUAAACCAACAGUUGAAAUGAUUGAAAGAAAAAGGACUUAACCUUUCUGGACUGGAAAAUGUUUAUGAUCUACUUACAUGUGUUUGAGCCCGCUUUGCUGGAGCGGCUUUAAUCGUACAUUCUUCCAUUUCUUACUAGUGUAUGGUUGAUGAUGAGGCUUCCAUCUGCUGCUGGCGUUUGCUUCAUCAGGGGGCUUCCAUUUGCUUCUACCACUUAGUUCUCAUUGGGAGAGCGUCUCUGGUUCUUUAUCCAAGACACAGAAAAUAAUGAGACAAGGACCACAAAAGACUCUUGGGUAAUAUAUGGAAAAAAGUUUGAAAUAAACCUUGAACUUGUAGUCGAAAACUAAAUCAGCACACCGAACUUCAAAUCCCGGUCUAUUUUCAACCAUGAGUGAGUUCCCAAACAGGGAUUGUCGACGUGGCAUGUUAAAUCCUAGGAUUGUUGGUUGUGCACUCGACUGGGCCGGCCCAUCAGACAUGAAGGGAGUUUUUUUUUUCUUAACACGCAUGACGUAAAGAGUCUUCUCUUCAUUAAUCAUUAAAGCGCGAAGUAACAAAAACGACUCGGGCUGAAUCGAACUUGGGACCUGGCUGAGCCGAGCUCAUCCCGCUAGCCAAAAAUACAGACAACUAGGAGUGAUAUAAUAUGAGGCCAGAUGUAUUUAACCACACACCGAAGCGUGGAACUUUGAAAACAUCUUUUAGGGGCAAACAAAUAUUCAAAACAUAAUCAAUUUUGGAAAUGUCCGAACAAUUUAUAAAAUGGGAGCACCUUUUGAAAAUCCUGAAUACUUUACUAUAUUUUGAGAAAGCAAUCAAUUUCGAAAAAGCAAACACUUUCUGAAACAUAAAUAUUUUUGAAACCUGAAAAAAAAUUUGAAAGUGCGAACACUUUCUGAAAAUUGUAAAAUUGGGAACAAAUUUUGAAACCUGAACAAAUGUGUAAAGAAAAUGUUUGAGUCAUCAAAAAAAUAUCACGAGUUUAGAAUGUAUGUGGCAUUUAAGAAAAAUUGUACAAUGUAAAAUAAUAUUCGUGUGAUUCAAAAAAUGUGCUUGUGACAUUAAAAAAAAGUAUAUAGAAUGUACAAAAAGUGUCAUACCCUUAAAAGACUAUAUGUGACAUGUGUUUAAAAAAGUGUAUACAAUUUUUAAAAUGUGUAACAAUGUAAAAAAUAUGUUUGUGUAGUUUAUGAAAUGUUUAUUGUCGUUAAAAAAAUUUAUAAUGUGUAUCUGGAAAAAUAUUACCAUGUAUUCAAAAAAAUAUUGAAAAAAUGUAUUUAAAAAAUUGUACGUAAUGUAUUUGAAAAAUGUCGAAAGUGUCCCAAAAAAUAUUUUAUGUCUGCUAAAAAUGUACAUCGGGUACUGAAAAUAAUUAGACGUGUGUAAAAAAGAAAACUAGUUUAAAGAAACAAACUAAAAGCAAAAAAAACAAACAAUAUGGAGAAAAUGAAUAAAAAGGAAAAAACAAAAGUAUAACGAAGAAAGAAAAACCAGAGAAGAAACAAAGUAUAGUAAAGAAAAAACAAAGAAACCUAUGAAAAACCAAAGGAAAAACAAACAAAAACAAAAAUAAAAAAUAAAAAUGGAGCAGCACGAGCAACUAUGCUAACGGGCCGGCCCAAUUCAGUGAAUACCAGCUAAAUCCUCUCAAGGUUCAAAAUUGACCAGGAUCAGAGAGUUCGGUGUGCUGAUUUCAGGGUUUGAGAGUUCAGGAUUCGAUUUAGCUUUCAUCUACAAGUUCAAGAUUUAGUUUGGACUUUUUCCAACAUAUGGUUGCAUCCGUCAUCUUGAUGUAGAGGUUUGAGGUUAUUCUUCUUUUUAAAAAGAAAAGGUUAGUAUUCAAUCACAACCCUUCUGCUUCGAUACAACCCCUUAAAUACAUCAACGGAUGAGAUCUCUCCAUAUUCGUUCAUAAUAAAGGGUAGGGCGAUCUUUUAAAACAUACGUCGCCGAGCAUGCGAAUAUGCAGCUUGUGUACAUACACAACCCGACAUACUUUUUUCACCUUCUUUUUAAUUAAAAAAAGUGCACCACUAGAGAUUCGAACUCCAACCCUCAAGGUUUACUUCAAGUUCUAGUAACCAACCGGGACAGGUUACUUGCAAAUGUAGCUUCGUGAACUUUCAGCCUGGGUUUUUCGAGUUUUUUUAACCCAUGUUUGUUCUAUUUUUGGGGGGGUUUAUUUUUCUUUUUCUUUUUAUUUUUAUUUUUAUUUUUCCUUUUUUAUAUUUUUCAAAUGCAUUAACUUUUUAAAACAAAAUCAAAUUCAUGAACUUUUUCUCAAAUUUGUGAGUCUUUUUCAAUUUUUAACAUAUUUUUUGCAAACAAAAUAGUGAACAUUUUUUUUUGCAAAUGUGCGAUUUUUUUCAAAUCUGCGAACAUAUUUUUAAAAAUCGAUGAACUUUUUUCACAUCCGCGAAUGCUUGGGCCGGCCCAACAGCCGCCCGAUGGGAGUGAUGUCGUCACCUAGUAGGGCCAAAGACUAAACAUUUUCUUCUUCUUCUUUUAUUAAUUCAUUUAUUCAUUUUUUUAACUUUAUUAAUCUUUUUGAAACUUUUUCAAAAUUUUGAAUUAUUGUUUGAAAAACUAAAAAAUCUUCUUAUUUUCAGAUAUUGUUUACUAUUUUAAAAAAACUGGAAUUUCAAAAAAUGUUCCAUUACUCCUAACCACCAGCUGGAUAAGACUUUGUCAGCCGCCUUUUCUUGACGCGAGAUCGAGGAGUACGAAUCGGAGAGCUCCUCUACCGCGGCGAGGCGUGCACUAUUUCCGAUGCCGAAUAAAGAGGCUGAGAUCCAGUUCGUGGUAUACGACACUAGCGCCUUCGGUGAGAAUAUCAGGCCGGACUAUUUUGUCGACGACGCCCAUUGUUUUGAAUUUCGACAGCAAAAAAAAUUCGCUGACCAUCGAAACCAACGCAAUUUCCAAAAUUCGUAAAUUUUGAAAUUUGUUUCGCACAAAUCAACGAAAUUUUUAUUUAAAUUUGAAUAAAUUUGAAUUUAAACUAUUGAGUAUAUAACUGUUGUCGCAGUAGUAAGACAUGAAAGCUGUAGAAUUAAGGAUCCCGCCGCUCUAUAUACAGAAAACGUAAAAAUAACGAAAUAUUUCAAACGAAAUACAAAUAAUUCGGUCAACCUCGAAAUGGUCGAAAUUUGACGAAAUUUCAGAAAUUUAAUCGAAAUUCAAAACAAUGACGACGCCUUCCUCAAGAAGUUGGUCGCCAUGGUGCUGAAGCAGAGCUAACGGGAGUAGGAGUUUCAAGUUAUUUAUACCAAACUUUUACACUUUUAUGUAGUUUAUCAAAUUAUAAUAUAAAAUAUUAUUUUUACAUAUCGCUUAGUUUAAAUAGUAUACUUAAUCAAGUGAAAUUGUGUUGUGUCAUUCUCUUGUAUAUGGUUUAAACAUCCAUUGUUUUCAAAAAAAUAAUNNNNNNNNNNNNNNNNNNNNNNNNNNNNNNNNNNNNNNNNNNNNNNNNNNNNNNNNNNNNNNNNNNNNNNNNNNNNNNNNNNNNNNNNNNNNNNNNNNNNNNNNNNNNNNNNNNNNNNNNNNNNNNNNNNNNNNNNNNNNNNNNNNNNNNNNNNNNNNNNNNNNNNNNNNNNNNNNNNNNNNNNNNNNNNNNNNNNNNNNNNNNNNNNNNNNNNNNNNNNNNNNNNNNNNNNNNNNNNNNNNNNNNNNNNNNNNNNNNNNNNNNNNNNNNNNNNNNNNNNNNNNNNNNNNNNNNNNNNNNNNNNNNNNNNNNNNNNNNNNNNNNNNNNNNNNNNNNNNNNNNNNNNNNNNNNNNNNNNNNNNNNNNNNNNNNNNNNNNNNNNNNNNNNNNNNNNNNNNNNNNNNNNNNNNNNNNNNNNNNUUCAUACUAUUUACUGCAUGCUUUGGUAGAUCCAGCAACCAACCAGUUGGCAGCAUGUUAUACCGUGGGAUUCAUAUAUAAACCCCGCACCCAACGUCGUGGGGUCCGGCAACCAAGCGGUUGGCAACAAUGUCAUACAUAAUAUUUCGUAUUCGUGGGAUUCAUAUAUAAACCCCGUAGAUCUGGUUAUCGUGGAUAAGAUGGCUUAUCUUGUCACAUUGACGAAAUACUGUGCUUUCACGACCAAUAUUGGCUGGGCGACCACCGAUGCCUGAUACAUGUUGUUGGGGUGGUUGUACCCGAACCUCACGUGGGAGUAGACUAUAGGUUGGUGACGUGGCUAUCCCACCCAUCGAUGUGGUCUGUUCUUGGGGUGGAAGACGGUGUUUUAGGUGAUAACCGUGGCGAUAUCGUGUGUCCAUGUCAAAGCCCCACGUCCCGGGGCCUCGACUACACUUUAUUACCCACAUUGUAUUACAAGGUGUGUUGGCAUGAAUAUUUCAUUCAUCUUGUAUAAAGAAGCAUGUUGGAUUUUUAUUUAUGAAAAAAGGGGGCUCGAAUGAAUAAUCCAACUAACUCCCAAGUAGUGUAGGUUGAGAGAGAUUUUCAUCGCAAAAAAAAGGUUGAGAGAGAUUUGGUUCAAAUCAAAUUCAAACUCAAACUCGAACUCAACCUAAAGGAAGGAGAAGCAAAGUAAAGCGAGUAAGCAAAGUGGGCUCCUUUUUCCUCCUUGGUUUGGAGGUAACCGACGGCGACAAGGACGGAAUAGGAGGACAAGGGCGUGUCCCCUCCUUUCCCUUCCUUGUCCUCUGUCCACAUCGCCUCUUCUCGCCGGCCGGCAGCCUCCUCCUCUCCGCCCGCCCGAGCGCCGUUCCCCCUUUGGCAAGAAGGAAGAGAAGAGAAGAGUGAGUCUCGCCCUUGUCCUCCUAUUCCGUCCGAUUCCCCCUUUGCUUUGCUGUGCUGUGCUUGCCAGAAAGAACAAGGGCGAAUCGGAUCCGGAAGAAAGAAAGCCCGCCCGUCCGUCCGCAGAUAGAUCUCAUCAUCAUCAUAAAUAUAAAGAUACGACCUUCUUGGCCUGCCCCCUCCCUGUUACCUACCUCGUCGAUCUAUCGGCGUGGCUCUUCUUGUUGAGUGUUGCAGGACGGACGAGCCAGCGAUUGGAUUGGAUUGGAUUGGAUUGGAUUUUGGGUACCUUUUUUUUUCCUUAUCGAUCCACGAUUCUUUGUUCCCUUUCUGGUUAACGAGUUAGUAUGUAGUACUAUGUACGUAUUAUUAGCGAGCGCCUUGUUAGGUUGGAUCGAUCCAAUCUGCUGCACACAACCAAGAGCACAUACAGAUUUUGCCUCUUCUUCUUCUGCUCUGCUCUGUUCUAGCCGAUUUCCUCCUUCUUGUUAGGUAGAUGCACAGAGCAGAUUAUUAGUAUGUAUGUGCUCCCACACCACAAGAUUCCUUCCUUCCUUCCUUGUUCUACACCAUACCAUGUUUUUCUUUUUUCCCAGUCCAGUUGAUUGUAUUUGUAUGCCUCCCUCAUCUUGACAUAAUAAUAUGCUUGCUUGGUUUAUUAUUAUUAUUAUUAUUAUUAUUAUUGCUCCUGCUUAUUAUUCUUGCCCGUAAAGACGGAUGUUAGUGUACUACUACUAGUCAAAACUUGAGAUAAUACUAUAUGGUUGGAUGCACUCACUUGUCCUUAACAAGUCAGACUAGAGGAUAAUGUUCUUGCCCCUCCCUACUUGUUUCAUGACACUUACUCACGGUGCUUGCAGAAUUAGAUAGAUAUUCACAAUACUUGUACCAUGUGUAUGUAUGUAUGUAUGUAUGUAUGUACUCCGUCUCAUAAUGUAAGACUUUUUUUGACUCUAGUGUAGUGUCAAAAAACGUCUUACAUUAUGGGACGGAGGGAGUAGUAUUUAGCAGCAGAUGCAAAGAAAGAAAGAAAACAACAUAAUGCUAGCUAGGCUAGGCUAGGUGUACUUACUCAAACUCACAUCUAGGAAUGAUGGUUCUGAGCUUGCAUAUCCUUUACCAACUCAACUGCUUGCUAUUUCCACGUCUUUCUUUACUCAUAUACAUACAUACAGUCAAUAACCGGAAAACAGUUAGCUAAUCCUCCUCUGUCGCUAAACAAACAGUUAGCUAAUCCUCCUCUGUCGCUAAACAAACAGUUAGCCAUAGAGGAUCAUAAUGGUAUAUCUUUGUGUACUAUCGCUAAACAAACAGUUCUUCAAGGUGCAAGUUUCUGCAGAUAUUUCACAUUUAUCAUGGGCAGACUUCAUAAUUAUAUGAAUAUAUAGCAGUAUGGGUGGCAGAUAUUAUACCACAUGCUCUGUACAAUUUCGCUGUCAUCUUUAGAAAUUUUCACUUGUUUACACUACAUAUGGUAGAACAAUUGAGAUGCUAUAUUGAUCUGUUGUGCGAUGUGUUCUGUUGAAAAUUUCUAGGAAUUAUUUGAAUGGCAUGACUAGUGCUUAAGUAAUUGAAAUUACUACCCUGCCUGGAAGUAUCCAAGACCAAGAUAAACUCUGUUCCCCCUUGUCUUAUCAUGUACCUGUUGGUUUUGCACGGUUGCACCUUAUGUUAUGUUAUCCUUUAAUUUAAUAUAAUAAUGCCGUGUUGACAUUUUACUUCAGUUAAUUUUCUACGGCCACCGUGCAUAUGUCAAUAUCCAUUUAUCAAUUCGCAUUGGAUUUAUUAUAACUCUGCUUCCUUCUAUGCAGCCAUGUAUGAUAACUACAGAAAUCCCCAUCCUCCCGGGAUGCAGAUGCCCCCACCAAACCCUCAGCCUGGCCCAUAUGACAAUCCAUUAUAUGGCGCAAGCUCAGGCCUGAUUAAAACUGGGUUAGGAGUAUAUGGGGAGAAGUUCCUCGGCUCCAGUUCAGAAUUCAUGCAGAGCAAUGUAAGGAGCCUCCAAAGAACAUUGAUCUCCCUGGUGUUUCAAAUCGCUUAUGUAUUCUCUCUAAAUUAUUUAUUGGCUCUACUCUUGCAGAUCAGUAGAUACUUCUCCAACCCACAGUACUACUUCCAUGUGAAUGAUCAGUAUGUCAGGAACAAGUUGAAAGUCAUACUGUUCCCGUUCCUUCACAGGGUAUAUUUGUCUUUCCCAUCUACACUGGAUAUGUAUCUUGUUCUUCUGUCUAUAUAUCGGGUGUACUGAAAUAUGUUCCGUCUUUCCUAGCUGCGCUGGAUAUGUUUCUGGUUCUUUUAUCUAUCUGGUGUACUGAAAUAGAUUUUUUGCAAUGAUUUUUCAGGGGCACUGGACCCGGAUAAGUGAGCCUGUUGGUGGCCGGUUGUCAUACAAACCUCCAAUGUACGACAUAAAUGCGCCAGAUCUGUACAUCCCUUUCAUGGCGUUUGGUACCUUCAUUAUUCUUGCAGGCUUCACACUGGGCUUCAUGGGAAAGUGCGUUUUUUUUUUAACUUUCUUCAGCCAAAAAACAGUGACACUUCAAAAUCACAGUUCCUAAUGCACUUGAACCCGUAUGCAGGUUCACUCCAGAAGCCAUAAACCUUCAGUUCACAAGAGGGCUGAUCGGAUGGGGCCUACAGAUCGUGUUCCUGAAAGGGCUCCUCUACUCGAUGGGCGGUGGCGAGGUGCCGCUGCUCGACCUGGUAGCCUACAGCGGGUACCUGUUCGCAGGGCUCUCCCUGGCCAUCGUCGCUCGGCUCCUAUGGGCCUACUCAUACUACGUGAUGAUGCCGUGGAUGAGCCUGUGCAUGGGGAUUUUUUUGGUGAGGACGAUGAAGCGGGUGAUCUUCACGGAGAUGCGGGGCAGCGAGAGGCACUCGACGCGGCAGCACUACUUCCUGCUCUUCAUGGCCAUCGUGCAGUUCCCCCUCUUCUUCUGGCUCGGCAGCAUAGGCGCAUGAGAUAGUCUUCUCUGUAAAUUUGGCACUAGAAAAAGCAACCACCUGUGAAGCUUAGGCACAUCCAGUAGCUUGUGCAGGCUCUCUGAGCAUCAUCAUAUAUGUUUUGUUGACAGGGGUUUUUGUGUUUGGUUUUGUAUAAAGUUGUGAAUUUUGCAGUCGGUCACCAUUUUGUAGUAUGUUUGUUGGAAUGGUCUCAAGUAUAUUCAUAUACAUUGUUUAUGUUAUAUAUGUUUCUUUGUAUGCUGUUGGAUCUACCCUAGUUCACUCAUCCUACUUAACUGGCAUUGUUUGAAUGUUCACUCAGUGAAAGUAUAUGCCAGCUUCAGUCUGUCAUUUGGUAGGUGCAGAGUAUAUAUAUAUACUGUCAGAAAAUUCACCACAUAAGUAUGCAUAUUAUUUCUGUUAUUCCAUUGUAUCUGGAUUUUUUGAUUUCCUCAGAGUUUUGGUCCAACAGCUUUUCUCAAAACAAGACAAACAAAAUUGUAUUUUGUUUAUAAACUGAUUUUCUUUGGAUUUUUGGUGAGGUAUCCAGAUUUACGCGUGAUAACUAUCCGUGCAGAAAAAAAAUGAGAUGCGUGCAAUGUAUGAAAUGAAUUAGCAACAAGUGAACAAGUACUUAACAACGUUUAAUGGAUAAAUUCUGAACGACCAAAAACAGAGCUUUGGAGGGAACACAAAAGCAAAAUAGGUUCCCAGAAUUCAUUCUCAAGCACGACAACAAACGCUGUUGUCAUGGAUUUCACAGCAUGCAGUUGCACAUUCCAACAACCAUUCGUCAAAAAUGAGUAGUAGAAACUUGAAAGGGCGCGCCGUUCGUAUUAAACAGUGCAAAGGUCCGAUGCAAAAAAAAAAAAAAAACAGUGCAAAGGUACGACGACUAUGGGUACAAGAGCAAGAAGAAACUUUGGCAUCUCAGAAGCCUGGCAACAAGCAAAUACCCUGUCAAACUUAAUAUAUUAUUACAACUAGAGAUCCCUUUCGUCAUUGUCACGAAUCAUAUUGGCAUGGCCAUCUUCUUGGUUAUAAUGACUUCCAGGGCGAUCUGUGAAGACUCAUCAGAGAUUGUAUCGAGGAAGAAGACCACAAACAGACCCACCAGUCCAGGGGAUCAGAUCAUCAACUGACAACAGAACAGAGCCUCAGUCAGCAACAAAAACAUAACAAUUCACAGAUGGCAACGGACAUCAGGAAUUAUCAUCUCUAAUCUAAAUUUUGUCAUCAAGACGAUAUCAGUGUGAGCUAAUAUAAUAGAAUUAUAUGGUCAAAAAAAUAUAAUGUAACAAUAAGAAAGAAGGUAAUAUACCUAUCAUAUUGCUUCUUACUAGAUAACUCAUUAAAGAAAAUAGUCUGACCAGUUAGGACACUGUUAAAGGUUAAGGACCUGGGUGAACUGUAUGUUUAACACGUACUACUAGGAAGACUUGAAAACAAAACAAACUAAAUGAUGAGAAACAAAAUGUUAAUGCAAGAAGGUAUAUUACUGACUCAACAUGUUUGCUGCCACGUUUAUAUUUACAGUGGAAUACUUCGUAGUAUCAUUUUCUUAACUUGUAUGCGGUCAGUAAAUUGGUUCUUCUCAUUAACAUUGGUACCAUAUGAGAACAGUGUUAAUGACAAGAACCAAUUUACUGACAGCAUACAAGUUAAGUAAAUGAUACUACGGAGUAUUCCACUGUAAAUAUAAACGUGGCAGCAAACAUGUUGAAUCAGAUAGAGAUGAGAACUGGGUGUCCUAAUGUUGCAAAAAAGAGAAACUUGGCACACUGCCGGUGUAAACUAACUUGAUAUCUAAGGUGCUGAAAUAGCAUCCACCACUUUUAGGCAGACUAACCACUCACAUCAUAAAAAAUGGGUAAGAAUCCCACUUUAUGUACCAUAUAAACUGUAAACUGAUAGUAACCAUUUCAGUAUCCAUACUUACUUCAAAAGGUAGCAACCAAAAAGAAAAUCUCAUUAUCCGUACUAAGUUCAUUCCAAGUUCAGCAAAAUCAGUGAUUGCUGUGAAUAUUUAACAGUCACUGUUUCGUAGUUCG
rnacentral:lncRNA from 1 species